UUUUUUUUUUUUUUUUUUUGGUCAGACUCUUUAGCUAAUAACUUUUUGAGACUCUGAAAUUAUCAUCUUGAUCUUUUUAUUCCUUUUAAUCCCACUCCUCGAGUUUUGUCCUAAUAACUUAUUGACACUGUUAAACUAUCCUCUUGAGAGAAACUUGCGGCUUCUGAGUAGUGGAGCUGUUGCAAGGUUGUUGAAGCGUUGGUUGCACUGGUAGUGUGGCGGGAAAAAGAACUUUUGAAUUUGGUUUAUCACCCCCUACAUUUGAUAUGAUUAAGCAGAUUUCGUCGCUUUGUGUUUGUGUAGUAGACUGUAGACAUUGAAAUUGCCGACCAAGUUUCCACGUGGCAACCUCUCUUUAAGCCAAUGCAAUUUGGUUUAUCGUAUAGCGUAUAACUCGAUCCAUCCAUGUGUUGACCGAUAAGUUAAACCUCCUCCUCUAUGGGAUCGACCGUGUCCUAUAUACAUAUAUGUUGUAGCUAAUUGCAAGAAGCAUUUUGCAGCUGCAGUUAACCAAAUCCAAAAGAGCUCGAGCGACCUAAACCCUCAUAACCCUAAACGCGGGCCGUAGAUACAUAGAAAUAGUACCAUGAAUUCGAAUUCUAUACCGAAUGGCGCAAGCUUAAGGGGUGGUAGCAGGAGGAGAGUUCCCGGGAUACCUUUGAUCAACGGAGGACGGAAGGAUGACAGAGAUCACGAUCAAGAUCUUAUUCUGUUCCAGGAGUUGCAAAAGCGCGAAAAAGAACGCAAAAUCGUCAGCCUCCUCCAAUCUGUUUCUGACGAGUUUGAGCCAAAUGGUACGUACGGUACUGCUGCAUAUUAUUAGCAUAUAUAUAUAUAUAUAUAUAUAUAUAUAUAUUAACUCAUAAUAAUUAUCAUAAUACAUAUUGAAUUUUAGGAGUUAAAAGAUAUACUUUCAGAAUUAUAUAUGAAUAUUUCAUAUAUCCUUCAUUCGUUUCUUAAUUUGAUUCAUGUACUAUAGCUAGCCAUAGCUAGCCCUUUGAUUCAUUUGCUAUAGCUAGUCCUAGCUCUGGUACAUUUGUUUUGUUGGUGAUAAAAUUUACUUUGAGAAAAAAAAAUUGCACGCAGGAAACUAUCAGCUUUACAGAAUUGAGUCUGCCAAAAAGGGAUUUGAAAUUUUUGCCCAAAAUGACAAGAACGACUAUGAUUGGUAGGCCUUCUUUAUUGAUCCCCUUUUUUACUGAUCCAUUAAUUUGAUGUCAAACUAAAUUUAAUUUUAAUUACUAGUUUUGUUUAUGUUUCUAGCUUCUUAUAGAGAGAGAUGAGACAUAAAAUAAAUAAAGCAAAGCUAGAAAAAGGGUGAUCAAUCCUAAGUUUUUAAGUUUUAAUUACUGAACAAAUUAUGAGUUUUUAAUUAUAAAAUUGUCUAGUUGUUGACUAAUAGUAGCUAAUAUAAAUUUCCUCGUCUUAUGUACAUCAAUCAAGGUUGAAAACACCACCUGCAACUCCUCUUUUUCCAUCUCUUGAAAUGGACACAAAUGGCCCUGAAUUAGUUGUUCAAAGGGAAAUACCAAUCAUUCAACCUCUUACGCGGGUAUGUAAAUGUUAGUCACUAGCUACUAAUAUUUACAAGAGAUCAUUUUUUUUUUAAUUUCAUAAAAUUCAUACAAUCUGUUUUUUUUUUUUUAUCAAUGUUCAUGAAGUUCAUAUAUCGAAAUGAUUAAUUGUGUUUUAUAACCGAAAAAAAUUAAUACUUUUUAGUAAGCUAUUAAGAUUAUAAAUUUUUGUAAUUUCUUAGAGCUCAUUUGAAUGUACUUUUAAAAUAAUUGAAAGCGGUUUUAGAAGAAAAAGAAAUUUAGGUUCCAAAAGCAUUUUCAGUGCUUUGUGCAAGAAACACCAGUUAUAUGCUUCUUCCAAAAAGUAUUUAAGUGUUUUUCCAGGAUUUACUUACAUAUUUACUAAAGAUUGAUUUUAAAAAUAUUUUCACAAAAAGUGUUUUCAGUUAUUUUAAAAGUACAUCCAAACAAGUUCUUAGUCAGUCAAAAGUGGGACCUAAUUUCGUUAACAGACAAUUGAAACAAUAAAUUUUAAAUUAUGGCAAUUGAAGUUCAGGUUUUCGAAUUAAAAAUUGUAUCAUUUCAUAUAAUAAUUUGAUUUAAUGUGGAGCAUGGUUCUUUUUAACUGACUCUGUUAGUUUAAAAGAUUAAAAAAAAAAAAGACCACAUCAAUAAUGUGGUUCAUUUUCCUUUAGUAAGAAUCAAACUUAAGACUUCUCAUUUACAAGUGAAGAAAAAUAUUAUUAGACCAUAAUACUAAGUGACAUAGGUAAUUGACUAAAACAAGAACGUAAUUGGCUAAAAGAACUAAUGCUCCACAUUAAGGCAAAUCCAAAUAUAACGUAUUUAUAAUUCUAGAGAAAAAGCUCCGACUUGAUCAUAAUUUAGAGAUCCUUCGCAUGCGGCGUGCCAUAGUAACUAAUGGAAGGAAUUACUAGUAAACAAACAUGGAUGAAACCAGUUUGCAGGUGGCAAUUGCAACACAGAGGCAGUUGAACCAAGAAAUGGGAGGCCCAAAUCUCCAAAACCAAAACCGAAAAUCCCGGUGAGAAGAAGUGUCACCCCGAGUCAAAGACGAAGCAGCUACAGCAGCACAGGCACAAGUGUAUUAUCCAAGGCCCAAACAAAAAACAGAACGACACCAGUCGCAGUUGAUCCUCGCCUGAACCAGAAACCAGCAACGAAUAUUAAUAUUAUUAGGCCAUCAGCAUCCGUUGACACAAGAGCAAAAAGAUCAGCAAAUUAUAACGUGGUCGGUGAAACAUCAGCUCCAGUAGAUUUCUUAUCCUCCUCGGACAUGGCAAUGGGAUUGGGAGGAGUGUUGAAGAUGGAAUAUUCGAAAACAAAGGCAACGGGGUCAGCAACAACAACAACUACUACAACUACUACUACUAGUAGAGGUGUCUCUGCUGCCUCCACUGAUCAUCUAAUUGUAGAUGGAUUUUCUAACGAGAAACCGGCUAAUGUGAGGACAGAACAACGCUCGACUUCUGCUACACGAGGAGGACGAGGUAGAACUAGUACGACCCCGACUCACCUGAUCCAGUCCAAAGCAGCUGCGCCAGCACCUGCUUCAAAACCAAUAAGGAAGCAGUCAUGCUCACCAAGCAUCUAUAGCGGUCGGAAAGUACUGGAAGGCACGAUCCAGGUUCAGGACAUUACUUCUAUGAAAAUUCACAGCAGCUUGAAUAAUACUCCAAGUUUAAAAGGAAGAAUUCAAACAGGAAACAAUGGAACCCAAGUUCUGGGAAGCAGAAUGGUGCAGAGAGUGAUGAAUGCUAGAAAAGAAGAUCAUAAAAAACCAAAUCCGCGGUUUCUGAUUAAUAUUAAUCAAAACUCUGGUUUUGGAAGAAUGCACGGUACUCAUGCCUAGCUAAGACUACGUACAAUGGGCAAUGGACAUACCUCCAAGAUCUUCUCAAACAUGCACAUGCAUAUGGAACGUACUUAUAUAUGCUGCUUAACUUUUUCAUGUUUUCAAUUUCAUAUCUUAGUAAUUUGUAUCCUAAAAAUCAGAAUGGUUUAUAUAUCUCCCGUUCAACCAUUAAAUAGUUUUACUGCUAAUUAAAUGAUGAUGAUGAUGUAGUUGUCGAGGCUCUCAUUUAGUUAUCGAGCCUCCCGUUCAACCAGUAAAUAAUUUUAGGGGUUUUUUAACUUUAAUCAUUCAAGAAUAUUGAAAUUUAAAAUAAACUUAGUGUUAGAUUACUUAUUGAUUAUAAUCCAUUGAUGCGUCCUUAAAUCAAAAUAAUUAAUGUGCAUUUUAUUUAAUGUCUCUCAUUAAAUAUUUAAGUUUAUUAAUAUACAAAUUAAAAAAAAAAAUUUACCAAAAAAGAGUUUUUUAAUUUAUUAAUUUUAUUUAACAUUCUUCAAACUUGAAAGACUCAAUUAAUGUACUUAAAUGUGUGUACCGAAAUGUAUGUACCGAAAUAUAUACACCGAAAUGUAUUAUAUUAAAUUAAUGUACCUAAAUUUAUGUACCAAAAUGUUAGUACAAAAAUGUAUUAUAUUGAAUUAAUGUAUCUAAAUGUUUGUAUCAAAAUGCAUGUACCAAAAUGUGUGUACCAAAAUUUAUACACCGAAAUCUAUUAUAAUGAAUUUAAUGUACCUAAAUGAAGAAGACAAAGUACAUCGAAAUAUAUUGUAUAACAAAAAUUAGUUUAUCUAAAUGUUGACAAUAAAAUAUAUUAGGAUAAAUGAAAUGAAAAUUAUAAUGAAAUAAAAUUAAUACAUUAAAAAUUAGGAAGAAAGAGAGAAACAAUUAAAAAUCAAAAUAGAAUUAAUAAAAUGAGGUUAUUAUUUUGAUCUUACUCAUGGUUUUAAUCUAAAAGUCAUCUUUGCCAAUGAUUAAAAUGAAGUUCUCUAAUAGUGUUACUACCAAUAUCACUCAGAUUAAUCUUAUCGUAGAUUAAGCUAUCAACUUAAAUGAUCCUUAUUACACCGAAAAACAAUAAUUCUAUGAAGUGAUUAAAUUAAAAAAAAAUCUCGCGUGAAACCUUCCGUCUUUUCCCUUACCUUCACUCUCUCCCCUUCCACUCUCCAUCUCUCUGGAUUGUUCACUCCCUUCUCUCCUUUAAGUUUUUUGUUUUUUCUUUUUCACCUAUGAAAAAGGGAGAGGGACCUGUUUCAAGUUUUUCACCAUCGUCGGACAACUAUUUCUGAAACACACAAUCGAUUUUUUUUUUUUGUGGUUUAUAACUAACUGAGUUUGAAUAUUACUGAUAAAAGUUUGGAUAAAACUGGUUUUAUGCAAUUGGAUUUGCUGGGUUUAGAUAUUUGAUGAGGAGACUAGGUUUUGCAGAUGGAAGGGAUUCAACAUGACGUGAAACCCUUUUUUUUUAUCAACUAGUAUUUUGUUUUCAUGUAACAAAAAUUAUUUAAAUUGAUAGUUUAAUCUACAGUAAAAUUAAAAUGAGAACUCAUAUAUAAAAAGACCUCACAGGUCCUCAAAGUGAAGACAUUAGGAUAGCAGCUUGUAAAUGGUAAGAGGAGAAAGAGGGCAUUAAAUUGUUAAUUAUUAGGGUAGGGGUGGGCAAAACAAUUGAAGAACCAAGAAAUCGAAUCGAGGAAGAAGAACCAGAGUUGACCAAAGCAAACAAAAACCAAACGAAUACCAAACCGACUUGAUUCGAUUUCGGUUUUGAUUUUUAUUUGGGGAUUCUAAAAACCGGUUUUGACUGAACCGAAUCAAUAUAAAUAUAAAUACAUGUGUAUUAUAUUUUUGAAUUAAGUACCUAAAACUCCCCAACCUUUUAGUGUCAUUCUAAAUUGGUCUCAACCUUUUUAGACAUUCUAAACAUGUACCCAACGGUCUCAACCUAUUAAAAAUGUCACAUCUGUUAAGCCCCAGUUAAUUUUUCAAACAUAUAUUAUAUGCAAAAUCCACCAAUUAGAUAUAUCAUGGACAAUAUUAAUAGUAGUUGCCUCAAAAUCUAAAUUUAAACAUAGAUUAUAUAUUCUUGAACCCAAUGAUCAAACAUGUAUUGAAUUGAAUGAAAAUGGACCCAAAUUGAAAUACAUCAGGAGGGCAAUCUCUGAACAUAUAAGAAGGUUAAGAAUUCUAAUAGGGUUUCACGAAGUUUGUUUUUACUCAUGCGAUUUCCUCAUUUGCCAAUUCUUGGCUCUCGUAAAGCUUUCAGUUCUUUGUUUCUGCUCAUGUGUGUCCGCAUCAUGGCAGUCCAUACCAUUUUAGCAACCACCAUGACCUUCUUAAUGUUGGCAGCUUGAGUGUAAGGGUGGAGUUUGUGGUUUUGCGUUGGGGUUUGGAGGUGAUGGCAUGAUGAGGAUGGUGGCAAUCGUUAGUUAGUAGAGGCUAUGGUUCCAUGACCUUCCAUUGAUUUUGGAGAAAAAGUAAGCCUAGUUAAUUUAACAGAUUUUUAAUUAAGGCUUAACGGAUGUGACAUUUUCAAUAAAUUGGGUACUAGUUUGGAAUGUUUAAAAAUUUUGAGUUCAAUUUGAAAUAAUACUAAGGGUGCGUUUGUUUGCACUCGCUAGCAUUCACUAGACUGGAUUAGAUUAAGUGGGAAUGCAGUGCCGUGUUUAUUCCACCCCGAGACAAGUUUUAAUGAGACUCGCCCCGACUAACCAAGAUUAACGGCUUCACUAGAGGGUCUUAGCGAGACCCCCCGAAAUCGGCCGGAUUCCUAAGACCAACUCCAUGCUUCGCCACCGCCCCCCUCUGCUUCCUACUUGUUCCUCGCAAAAUUCAAAACCCAUAUCCCAUUUACCAACUCUGCUCUGCUUCGCCCCUCUUGUAUACCAUUUUCAAACCUAAAUCCCUCAAAAUUCGAGAACAAAAAAGGAAAAAAAUUAUGCACUCUUUCCAUUCUCAAAACCAUAUCCCAAACCCAAAAUUCGAUACAAAAACAAAAAACAAAAAAAAAACCACUAUGCGUAUGAAAAGCACGGCAGUCAUCCAUUCACACAUGCACUUCAGACUCCCUAAUCGCAGAACUUCGUCGUUGACGCUGGAGAAGCAGAACGAUGAGUACCCAUAUGACUCAAACUCUUAUAUGGGUUCUGAUUUGCCAAUUGCGUCUUAGAAAAAUUAGCAAAAGAAACAAGGGAGAUGAAUGGAGAAAAAUAGGAAGAAAAAGGUGAAGAUGAAAAGGGAGAGGGACAAAGAAAAAGAGGGAUUAUGACAGAGAAACUUAUUAAGGGUGGGGGAAAUGAACAGAAAAGAAAUAGGAAAGCACUACAGAGGUUUCUAAAGAGGAAAAAUAUAGAAAAAAGUAAGAAUAAAAUAAUAAUAAACCUGAAUUAAUAAUAUAAAAUAAUAAUUAUAGUGAAUUAAAUAAUAUAGUAUUAGAAUUUGUUAUUGUUUUUAGUUUUUAAUCCGACACUACACCAAACUAUUCACUAAGUUAGUCUAAGUUAGUCUAGUUUAAGCCAAUCCAGCUUAAUCCCCAAAGUUAAUCCAGUCCGAGAUAGUCCGACACAACAAACGCACCAUAAAAGGUUGAGGGGUUUUAGGUACUUAAUCAUAUAUUUUUUUAACAAUAUAUGGCCCUUAUGAAGUGCAAAUUUAUUAUUUUUUAAGCCCAAUAUUCCUAAGCCUAAUUACCAAACCCUAAUCUACUACCCUCCCUCACCUCAAUCCUCAAAAGAGCCAUCUCUCUUUCUCUCUUCCCUUUCUCUCCAUCCUUCUCUCUCUCUUCCUCCCUCACCACACUUAACCGACUAGCAUUACCUUCUUUUCUAUAUCUCCAUCUCUCUUUGUCCGUGUUUUAACCUCUCUAUCUCUUCUUCAUUUCUCUCUCUCUUUAGUCCCGUUGUCUGCACCUCAAACUCUCUACCAUACUCGACCGACUGGGCGAUUUCUCCGCCAUCUCUUCCUGCCGAUUCAGUCCCCACCUAUUAUAUCUAAUCCUAUCUCAAAGUUGCAAAGCCAAAACCCUCGCCAGCAUCUCUAGAUCUAAUUUUGAAUGGGAAAUAUGCUUAAAAUCGAGAACCAAGCGAAUCGAACCGAAACUGAGGCGGUCCAAUUUUGUUCAAUUUUCCCUUGCAAUUUUCAGUUUAUGAAUCAAACUAAUUAUAUGACUCCAGUUUGGUUCAUGAUUUUAAGAGUGAGUUGGACUGAACUGAACUGUGCCCACCCCUUAUUUGUGGAGAAUAAGGGCUUUAUUAUGGUCAUAUAUAUUUCUUUCAAAAACAUACAACAACAACAACAAAGCCUUUUCCCACUAAGUGGGGUCGGUUAUAUGAAUCCUAGAACGCCAUUGCGCUCGGUUUUGUGUCAUGUCUUCCGUUAGAUCCAAGUACUCUAAGUUUUUUCUUAGGGUCUCUUCCAAAGUUUUCCUAGGUCUUCCUCUACCCCUUCGGCCUUGAACCUCUAUCCCGUAGUCACAUCUUCGAACCAGAGCGUCAGUAGGCCUUCUUUGCACAUGUCCAAACCCAUUUUGUGUACGUGUUGAUGCUUCAUCGCCCAUCAUUCUGGGCCAUACAGCAUCGUCGGCUUUAUUGUCGUCCUAUUAAAUUUUCCCUUGAGCUUUAGUGGCCUACGACGGUCACACAACACGCCAGAUGCAAUCUUCCACUUCAUCCAUCCAGCUUGUAUUCUAUGGUUGAGAUCUCCAUCUAAUUCUCCGUUCUUUUACAAGAUAGAUCCUAGGUAGCGAAAACGGUCGCUCUUUGGUAUUUCCUGAUCUCCGAUCCUCAUCCCUAACUUAUUUUAGCCUCCAUUUGCACUGAACUUGCACUCCAUAUAUUCUGUCUUUGAUCGGCUUAAGCGAAGACCUUUAGAUUCCAACACUUCUUUCCAAAGGUUAAGCUUCGCAUUUACCCCUUCCUGAGUUUCAUCUAUCAACACUAUAUCGUUUGCGAAAAGCAUACACCAAGGAAUAUCAUCUUGAAUAUGUCCUGUUAACUCAUCCAUUACCAACGCAAAAAGGUAAGGACUUAAGGAUUGUUGAUGCACAAAAUCAGUGAGGACUUUGGUACAACAGAAAGUAUUAAGUUUGUGAUCUUCGCUAGAUUGCUCUAGUCAUUAGUGUGGAUAAGUAUGUAAAUGGAUAGAGGCAGAAAAGCAAACACAAGAUGUACGUGGUUCACCCAGAUUGGCUACGUCCACGGAGUAGAGGAGUUCUUAUUAAUUGUGAAGGGUUUACACAAGUACAUAGGUUCAAGCUCUCCUUUAGUGAGUACAAGUGGAUGAUUUAGUACAAAUGACAUUAGGAAAUAUUGUGGGAGAAUGAUCUCGUAAUCACGAAACUUCUAAGUCCCGAAGUGUGGUAUCGUCUUCACUUGCCUUAUCUGUCUCAAAGGUAGAUGUGGCAUCUUCUCUGGAAGUACUCUUCCUUCAUCCAGGGGUGGUAUCUUUAACUGGUAGAGAUGCACAAGGUAAUGUAUCAAUUUCACUUGAAGCUUACUUGUAGUUUCAGGCUUGGUCAAGCGCGAUACAAACCAUGUAGUAGGAGUCCCCCAAGUCGUCGAGCUAGGGGAUCUGCUGAAAGAGGUGACAGACAAGGUAAGCAAUCAGAGCUCCAAGCAAUGAAUCCCAGAUCAGAAGUUUGAUUUCGAGUUCCGGCUGAUUGUUCUCAUUCUCCCUAUCUUGCAGGCAGCAUGAAGGAUAAAGAGAAGAAAAUGAGAAUAGAUGAUAUGAGAUGCUUUUGUUUUUAAAGAAGUAACUUUCCAUAGGCUUAUUCUUGAACUGGGCUGGAGGGUUUUCUGGUUUCCUCCAGAGUAUAAGGCCGACUGAAGAAUUUGAGGGUCAAAACAAGUCCAUCAAAUCUGGAGUACGGUCGACCCUGCUGAUAUGAGAUACUUUUGAUGUUGACAAAGUAGUGGAUGCAUCGGCACAUGUUAUGUUACGCUUGUCUCUACAUGCUUCCUUAUAUCCUUCUCACUUUCCCUAUCUGUUCCUCAGGCAGAUGUGGUAUCUUCUCUGGAAGCAGAAGAUGUUGAAGAUGAGUACUCGAAAGCAAUGCCAGGUAAGUAAUCAGGUAAGGGGUUCCAGGCAAUCAGUUCCUGACUGGAAGCUUGAUACCAAGUACUGACUGAUUGCUCUCUUUCUCCUUGUCUUGCAGGUAAGAACAAGGCCAAAUGAAAAGAUAGGGAAAAAGUAUGAUAUGGGAUACUCUUGCUUUUAACCCUGAUGAUAUGAGAUAUUCUUGCUCUGGUGUAGCUUGUUUACAGAGGUAUUAUCGGGGGGAAAGAAAGCUGAGUAUUUCGAGAGGCUUCGUUGGGAGUGCCCUCUCAGAUAUGAGGAAGGGUUGAACAUUUUUGCAGGUCUGCCUGUCCGUUGAGGAUGGAGGUCGACAUAUAUAGGAGUCUCCCUAACAACAAGUAGUACAGCUAUUCCUUUACCCUGCUUGGUCAUAGCACGGUACUGGGAGCUGCCAGCUUCACAUGUGUCAGAGCACUUUGAAAAAAUGGUCUGUGAUAUCUGGAAAGCUGAUGUUACGUGUGAAUUACAAGCAAGCUUUAUCCAAGAAGAUCUGGCUCUCGAAGUUGAGAAAGCGGUGCCUCUUCGGCUUUCGAACAAGCAAUCCUGUCAGGGAUCUGGCUCUCGAGAUUCAGAGAACGGUGCCUCUUCGAUUUUUAAGAUAGCAAUCCUGCUGGGAGUCUGGCUUUCGAGCUUCGGAUAGUGGUGUCUCUUCAAUUUUUUAGAAAGUAAUCAUGUUGAGAGUCUGGCUCUCGAGAUUCGGAGGGCGGUGCCUCUUCGAUUUUGGAGCAAGCAAUCUUGUUGGGAGUGUUUCUCGAAUGUGAGUAAAGGUUAGGCAUGUUUGCUAGUCUACCUUGCCACGGAGCACAGAGGUUGACACACAGGGACUUUCCAAUUAUCCAGCAGUGGUGCUGUUCCUUUACCCUUGUGGGUAAUAAUAUGGUAGCUAGACCUUCAAAAUUUAUGUGUCUAAACUUUGUUAGUGCUGUUUCUUUGCUAUUCUUUUACCCUUGGUCAUAACGAUGUAGUGGGAGCUGCAAGCUUCACGUGUCUAAACUUUGUGAGAGAUCUUUGGCAAAGUUAUCUGUGGUACCCAUUAGCUGAUGGUGCGUGUGAAAAGUGAAUGAUUGAACAAUAUGAUUUACGUGCUUUCUACUUCACUAGAAAUCUUCAACAAAAUGCCUGUAAUUUCAGCAAAGCUGAGUGUGCAUGUGACAGGUGCUGACAAGGCUGAAAAAAGCAAGUGCCUCUUCGAUUUCUGGGAUCGGCCUUCGUGGUCUUUGAGCAGCCCAGCUUUUAAGAAAGCAAGCGCCUCUUCGAUUUCUGAGAUCGGCCUUCGUGGUAUUUGAGCAGCCCAGCUUUUGAGAAAGUAAACGCCUUUUUUAUUUCUGCGAUCGACCCUCGUGGUCUCUGAGCAGCCCAGCUUUUGUGAAAGCAAACGCCUCUUCGAUUUCUGGGCAGGCGCCUCUUCGAUUUCUGAAGCUCUGUCGAGUGAAGAUUUUUAUAGAGGCUGGCAUUAAGUUCCAAAGCACACUUGAAUCUUCACCAGUAGAAGCUCAUUUCUUGCACUUCUAAGAUCUUGAUUUGUCCGACCUUUUCUCUCUUCAACACCUUUGAAAAUGUCUGGCCCCUCCAACCGUCGUUUUGACUUGAACCUUGUUAAAGAGGCAGCAACGACUUCUCCAGACAACAUAUAGCGCCCAUCCUUCUUAUCCCCUACUGGUCCUCUUAUCGUUGGGGAUUCCGUGAUGAAGAAUGAUAUGACCGCUACGGUGGUGGCCAGGAACCUUCUUACUCCCAAAGAUAACAUACUACUUUCCAAACGGUCUGAUGAGUUGGAUGUUAAGGAUUUUCUGGCUCUGAGUGUUCAAUGUGCAGGUUCUGUGUCUAAUAUGGCCCAACGCCUAUUUGCUCGAACCCGCCAAGUUGAAUCAUUGGCGACUGAAGUGAUGAGUCUCAAACAGGAGAUUAAAGGGCUCAAGCACGAGAAUAAACAGUUGCACCGACUCGCACAUGACUAUGCUACAAACAUGAAGAAGAAGCUUGACCAGAUGAAGGAAUCUGAUGGUCAGGUUUUACUUGAUCAUCAGCGGUUUGUGGGUUUGUUUCAAAGGCAUUUAUUGCCUUCGUCUUCUGGGGCUAUACCGCGUAAUGAAGCUCCAAAUGAUCAACCUCUGAUGCCUCAUCCUUCUAAGGUUCUGUCCAAUACUGAGGCUCCGAAUGAUCCCCCUCCGGUGCCUUAUCUUUCUGGGGCUCUACCGACUGCUGAGACUUCUCCUAAGCAACCUUUGUGAAGGCUCCCUCUUGUUUGUUUAUUUUGACUCAUGUAUAUGUACAUAUUUAUAACUUAUCGGAGAUAUCAAUAAAUAAGCUUUGCUUCAUUUCAACGUAUUGUGUUAAAUACACCAAAGCCUUCUUCACUGAGUCAUGUCCUUCGUUAGAACCAAAUACUCUAAGUCUUUUCUUAGAUUCUCUUCCAAAGUUUUCUCAGGUCUUCCUCUACCCCUUCGGCCCUAAACCUCUGUCCCUUAGUCGCAUCUUCUAACCGGAGCGUCAAUAGGCCUUCUUUGCACAUGUCCAAACCACCGUAACCAAUUUUCUCUCAGCUUUCCUACAAUUUCGGCUACUCCAACUUUACCUUAGAUAUCCUCAUUCCUAAUCUUAUCUUUUCUCGUGUGCCAACACAUCCAACGAAGCAUCCUCAUGUCCACUACACUCAUUUUGUGUUCGUGUUGAUGCUUCACCGCCCAACAUUUUAUGCCAUACAGCAUCGCUGGCCUUAUUGUCGUCCUAUAAAAUUUCCCUUGAGCUUCAGUGGCAUACGGCGGUCACACAACACGUUGGAUGCACUCUUCCACUUCAUCCAUCCAGCUUGUAUUCUAUGGUUGAGAUCUCCAUCUAAUUCUCCGUUCUUUUGCAAGAUAGAUCCUAAGUAGCGAAAACGAUCGCUCUUUGGUAUUUCCUGAUCUCCGAUCCUCACCCCUAACUCAUUUUGGCCUCCAUUUGCACUGAACUUGCACUCCAUAUAUUCUGUCUUUGAUCGGUUUAGGCGAAAACUUUUAGAUUCCAACACUUCUCUCCAAAGGUUAAGCUUCGCAUUUACCCAUUCCUGAGUUUCAUCUAUCAACACUAUAUCGUCUGCGAAAAGCAUACACCAAGGAAUAUCAUCUUGAAUAUGUCCUGUUAACUCAUCCAUUACCAACGCAAAAAUGUAAGGACUUAAGGAUGAGCCUUGAUGUAAUCCUACAGUUAUGGGGAAGCUUUCGGUUUAUCCUUUAUGAGUUCUUACGGCAGUCUUUGCUCCUUCAUACAUAUCCUUUAUAGCUUAGAUAUAUGCUACUCGUACUCCUUUCUUCUCUAAAAUCCUCCAAAGAAUGUCUCUUGGGACCCUAUCAUACGCUUUUUCCAAAUCUAUAAAGACCAUGUGUAAAUCCUUUUUUCCCAUCUCUAUAUCUUUCCAUCAAUCUUCGUAAAAGAUAGAUUGUCUCCAUGGUUGAGCGCCCUGGCAUGAACCCGAAUUGGUUGUCCGAAACCCGUGUCUCUUGCCUCAAUCUAUGCUCAAUGACUCUCUCCCAGAGCUUCAUUGUAUGACUCAUUAGCUUAAUACCCCUAUAGUUCUUGCAAUUUUGUACGUCGCCCCUUAUUCUUGUAGAUAGGCACCAAAGUGCUCUUUCGCCACUUAUUUGGCAUCUUCUUCGUUUUCAAAAUCCUAUUGAAAAUGUCAAUGAGCCAUGCUAUACCUGUCUCUCCCAAGACUUUCCACACUUCGAUUGGUAUAUCGUUCUGGGCCUACUGCUUUUCUAUGCUUCAUCUUCUUCAAAGCUACAACCACUUCUUCCUUCCUGAUUCGACGAUAAAAAGAGUAGUUUCUACACUCUUCUAAGUUACUCAACUCCCCCAAAAAAGUACUCAUUUCAUGUCCUUCAUUGAAAAGAUUAUGAAAAUAACCUCUCCAUCUGUCUUUGACCGCGUUCUCUGUAGCAAGAACCUUUCCAUCCUCAUCCUUGAUGCACCUCACUUGGUUUAGGUCUCUUGUCUUCUUUUCCCUUGCUCUAGCUAGUUUAUAGAUAUCCAACUCUCAUUCUUUGGUAUCUAGUCGCUUAUACAUAUCGUCAUAAGCCGCUAACUUAGCUUAUCUCACAGCUUUCUUCGCCUCUUGCUUCGCUCUUCUAUACCUUUCACCAUUUUCGUCGGUCCUGUCAUUGUAUAAGGCUUUACAACAUUCCUUCUUAGCCUUCACCUUUGUUUGUACCUCCUCAUUCCACCACCAAGAUUCCUUUUGGUGUGGGGCAAAGCCCUUGGACUCUCCUAAUACCUCUUUUGCUACUUUUCGGAUACAACUAGCCAUGAAAUCCCACCUUUGGCUAGCUUCCCCCUCUCUAUCCCACCCACAUUGGGUGAUUACUUUUUCUUCUUUUAGAUUCCACCAUCUAGUCCUUGGGCACUUCCAAGUCUUGUUCUUUUUUCUCACUCUUUUGAUAUGUACAUCCAUCACCAACAAGCGAUGUUGAUUAGCCAAGCUCUCUCCCGGUAUAACUUUGCAAUCCUUACAAGUUAUACGAUCCCCUUUCCUCAUUAGAAGAAAAUCUAUUUGUGUUUUUUACGACCCACUCUUGUAGGUGAUCACAUGUUCUUCUCUCUUCUUAAAAAAGGUGUUGGCUAAGAAGAGAUCAUAUGCCAUUGCAAAAUCCAAGAUAGCUUCCCCAUCCUCGUUUCUCUCCCCAAAACCAUGGCCACCAUGAAAACCUCCAUAGUUGCCUGUCUCCAUGCCCACGUGUCCAUUUAAAUCUCCUCCUAUAAAUAACUUCUCCGUCUGGGCAAUUCCUUGCACCAAGUCUCCAAGGUCUUCCCAAAAUUUCUCCUUCGAACUUGUAUCCAACCCUACUUGAGGUGCGUACGCACUAAUCACAUUGAUAAGUUCUUGUCCUAUUACAAUCUUGAUUGCCAUGAUUCUAUCUCCUACCCUCUUGACAUCUACAACAUCUUGUGUCAAGGUCUUGUCCACGAUGAUGCCAACACCGUUUCUCGUUCUAUUUGUGCCCGAAUACCAAAGUUUAAACCCUGAGUUUUCUAGAUCAUUUUCCUUAAGACCAACCCACUUAGUUUCUUGUAGGCACAUAGUAUUUAUCCUUCUCCUCACCAUAACUUCCACUACUUCCAUAGAUUUUCCCGUAAAGGUUCCUUUAUUCCACGUUCCUAAACGCAUUCUACUCUCUUGAACUCUACCCUUCUGUCCUAGCUUCUUCACCCUCCCCCGUCCAAUAGGAUCAAAGUACUUCUUUUGUGUGUCCUGUGUAAAGUUGAUAGGAGCAUAUGCUCCCAAACAACUUUGAGUGGAGUCGUUCGAAAAGAAGUUUCUAUGGCCCCCUUGCUCAUUUAACAAUGCAUCCGGGUGCCGAUGGAGAUACAGCGACCCUUGCUCACUUAUCACUGUGCUCGGGCCACACAGCGCGCCACUUACGGUUGACGCCCUAGCUUUAGCGCGAUUUCGUUCUGGAUUCAUUUUCAUAAGGAUUCGGUGUAACCGAGGAGUGCCGGCUGUCGACUACCUGACGCCCUCCCUCUCCUUCUUUACCCGGGCUUGGGACCGGCAAUGUAAGAUAAACUUACACAGGCGGAGUUUCUUUCCAAAACAUACAUGAAAGAAAUUUCUGGAUAAACAAGCACAAGACUCAUACAAGACAUAACUUACUAGACACCAACUACUAGAAAAUUGUCUUGCUGUGAAUCAUGUAACACUUCACAAAAUUUAAUAAAAUGAAUCUUCGUAAGCUUGCCCGAUUUCUCCUACCUGGGUUUCAUAGCAUUGCGUUGACACCCGGUUGCAAGAGUCCACCACCUUGAUCAACUCUUAUUCACAUAUGCUAGUGAUCACUAAAUGCUUGACUUAACUCUAAACCUAGUGAGAUAACUUGAGCUUACGAAGACGAUAUAUAGUAGUUAUAAGUGUAAUAGCAAGAAAUCAAUUUUUUUAUUAACAAACGAUAUUAUCUACACUAAAGGGAAGGAGAUCAGUUUAGUCUCACAAUAGGCUAACAAUAACGUGGUUCAAAUUCGCCUUUGGUGAGAAUCAAACCUAACAUCUCUUACUUAGAAGUGAUGAGUAAUUAAUAACACUAGACUGUAAUACUAAGUGACGCAAUAAAUCAAUUUUGAACGUUGAAGAUAUUAACCUAAUAUUUAUGGAUAAAACAGUAAUGCAUGCAAAAGAAAGUCAUCUCAUAGAAUCAGAGUGUAAAUGUCAAACCAUUUAAUCAAGGCUAUUUUCUAUAAUGGCCAUAACCUUAAAAGCGUACUUUCGUUCAAAAUUAAUCAAUUAAUGUAUAAACUAAUAUCCUAUAUACAACAAAAUGUAGUGUAUAUAUCAAUUUCUAUAACGUGCGAGUCAUUUCCCUAGCCUUAGGACUGCCUUGUGAGCAUCAUCUUUACAUGCAUAUUAUUCCGCGCCAUUUGUUUUUCCGGCGAAGAAUUAGAAGCGAUCGAUACGAAAAAGAGUACCAAAAAGAAGAGACGACAUUUGCAUGAACCCCUGGAUAUAAUUUUAUGUAUUCCAACCGCUUCUCACACCUGAUUAAUAGUAGACUGCUAGAAGGGAAAACCUCAAAUCUCCCAGAUCCAACAAAAGAUGGAAAGGUCUAGAAUUGGGGGUGUCCAUGUUCCAUAGAUAGAGGGGAACAGAAGCAACAACAAACGGGAGCUGGAAGAAAAGGGUAAGGCGGUGGGACAUUCACCUCAGAAAGAAAUUAGAACAUAGGAGGAUUCCAGAAGGGUAAAGGAAAGGAAAGAAAGGGCUGCAAACAGGCUGAAGAAAAUGACCACGAAGGAAAGGUGUCUGAUGAUGGAAGGGGCGAUCUAUGCGGAGAAUGAGUUGCAAGAAGUCUCGAUAAGGUAUCAGGAUAUGUGGGACUACAUGGAGGAGAUCUCUAUGAAGGAGAAAAAUGCCCUGAUGGCUAAGAAAACAGGAUCCUCUUUCGGAGGUGGUGGCAGCUGGCCUUCAAUAGCCGAUCACCAUGAUACACCACUUCUGGAACUAUCGUGGUCUUGGGUCGGAUACGGUAGUUCGAGCCAUACAUGGGCUAAUAAGGAAACAUAGACCCUCUAUGAUCUUUCUCUCAAAAACAAAAAUGAAAGAUCAUAGAAUAAUAGGUGUGAGGCGACGAAUGGGGUAUUUUAAUGGGUUUGAUGUUGCACCGGUUGGAAGGGCAAGAAGGCUUAGUCUCUGGUGGGAUGAGUCGGUCCAAGUGAAUGUGGUGGAUUCCUCAAAACAUUUCAUUGAUGCUAAAUGUUGCUUUGUGGAUUCGCAGAGUGUGUUCCAGUUCACCGGUAUGUACGGAAUGUCUUACCGAGCUGAGAAGGUAGAAUUUUGGAGGGGAAUGAUUCAGAAUUUCGGUCCGGACAGCAUCCCUUGGAUAUGUGGUGAUGACUUCAAUGAAUUCUUGUGGGAUCAUGAGGAAUCGGGUGGAGCCGAAGUGAGAUACAACCAGAUAAGAUAUCUAUAGGAGUUUAAAAGAAGUUGGAAAUAUCAGACUUAGGUUUCAACAGUCCUAAGUUCACUUGGCAAGGGAAGAGAAAUGGGCAGUUAGUGUAGGCUCGGUUAGACAGAGGGCUUGUGAAUGAGAGUUGGCAGACAAUUUGGCCUAAUUCUAUGGUCACUAAUGGUACGUCACUGGGAUCAGAUCAUAGCCCAGUUCUAGUGCAUUGCGAUCCGCGUGUUGGAAAAAGGAAAAACAUUUUCUCUUUUAAGGCCUACUGGGCAAAGGAUGCAAAUUGCAAAGAGAUAAUGAGACGACUAUAGGAUAAAACUCGGGGAGGGAAACUCUGUGAAGCGAUGGAAUCUAAAGAUCAGUGAGUGUUGUGCUAAUCUGUCCAGGUGGAGUAGAGAGAAAUUCAGUCAGAAAAGAUGGAAAAUUCAGGAGAUGAUGAACCAUUUAGGUCAACUCCAACUUGACUGGAAGAAAAAAUCCCAAGAAAUUGAGGAUCUAUAAAAACAUGUUGACCAUCUGUGGAGCCAGGAAGAGAGCAUUUGGCAGCAAAGAUUAAGGGUUCAAUGGCUAAAGGAAGGGGAUGCCAACACAAAGUUUUUCCAUCAAUUUACCUUGCACAGAAGAAACAGAAAUAAGGUGGUAUUGCUAAAAAACAAUAUUAGGGACUGGGUGGACAAUCCAGGUCAGGUAUGGCAAUUGAUUAAUGAGCACUUUGUGGAACAUUUCACCUCGUCGGGGCAUAGGGAGUAGGGAGCCAUCCUUGAUUACGCCACCCCAAGGGUUUCUGAAGAGAUAAAUGUAACGUUAACGGCUCCAAUCUCUGUAGACGAGAUAAAAAUUGCUGCUAUGAAAAUGGGAGGUCUUAAAGCUUCGGGCCCAGACGGAUUUCAAGGUAUUUUCUAUUAGUCGCAGUGGGAUAUAAUUGAUGCGAAUGUUAAUAAAAUGAUCGAGGAUUUGAUGAUUAGGUCUAUGUCGCCUAUGCGAAUCAAUGCUACUCACCUGGUUUUAAUUCCAAAAGUUCAAAACCCGGAGUCAGUGUCUCAGCUUCUCCUCAUAAGUCUAUGCAAUUAUUCAUACAAAAUUCUUUCCAAGGUCUUGGCUAACUGGUUAAAAAGGUUACUGCCAGAGUUGAUUUCUCCAACCCAAAAUGCUUUUGUGGAAGGAAGACAAAUUCAAGCUAACAUUGGCAUUGCGCACGAGCUAUUCCAUUUCCUCAAAACAAGAAAGACGAAAAGCAAGUUAGAGUUAGGAUCAAAUUGGAUAUGUAUAAGGCUUAUGAUAAGGUGGAAUGGGACUUCUUAUUGGCAAUAAUGGAGAAGAUGGGUUUUGAUAGUCGAUGGAGAAGUUUGAUUUUGUGUUGCAUUUCAACAGUGAAUUUUGCCAUUCUUCUGAAUGGACAACCUAGCUCCAAAUUUGCACCAUCACGAGGGAUUCGACAGAGUGAUCCUCUUUCCCCAUAUUUAUUCAUGUUGGUCAGUGAAGUGUUCUCGCUUCUUAUACAACAGGCGAGUGAUAGGAUAUGGACUGAGGGUGUUCAAAUGGGUCUUACCAGUCCCAUGAUAUCUCAUAUUUUUUUGCUAAUGACACUUUGAUUUUCCCAAAGGCAGAUGAGAGAAAUUGCAGAAAUCUAAUUCUGGUAAUUGACGAAUAUUGCUCUGCCUUGGGUUAAUAGGUCAAUAAGUCGAAGUCAAGUAUUUUUUUUCAGGGGGAAUGUGUCGGAGUCUUUAUCAAUCCAACUGGCUACCAUUCUUGGGAUGGAGAAAGUUGGGGACCCGGGAUUGUACCUAGGUGUUCCGGCCAUUUAGGGUAGAUCAAACAAAAACGGCCUUACUUAUGUAAAAGGUAGGCUUUUGGGUAAGAUUCAGGGAUGGAAGCGUUCCACACUCUCACAAGCAGGGGGUGAAGUUCUUAUAAAGGCGGUGGCGCAGGCAAUUCCGGUGUACCCUAUGAAUCUAUUCAAGUUUCCUAUGACACUUUGCAAUGAAUUAGAUGUAAUGAUUUCAAAAUUUUGGUAGGGAUAAAAAUAAGGGGAAAACCAGAUUCAUUAGGUCUUGAUGGAGCAGUUGGGUCGUUCAAAAGAAGAAGGCGAGUUUAGAUUGAGGUGCUUUGCGGAGUUCAACUAUGCCCUCUUGGCGAAGCAAUGUUGGAGGUUGUUAAUGGAGUCAAACUCCUUGUGGGUGUCGGUACUUAAACCCUGAUAUUUCCCAAAUUGCUCUUUCUUCGAUGCAAAGCGGGGUGGAAGAGCUUAUUGGGCAUGGUCAAGCCUCCUAGAUGGAAGAGAAAUUAUUCGUGGGGGUGCACACUGGCAGAUUAUGAAUGGAAAAGAGGUUCGGGUUUGGGUGGAUAAAUGGCUACCAUACAUUCCUUCGAGAAGACCUUUCCCCUUGGGCACGGUGCAAGUCUCUCAGAACUUAAUGGUCAACUCUCUGAUAUGCACUAAAAUUGGGCUUGGGAUAUUGAUUUCUUGAAACCAUUUGUGGUGGAAGAUGAGUUCAAUGCGAUUUUAGAGACUCAUACGGGUGACCCAACUUUGAAUGACAGAUUGGUGUGGUCUUUUGAGAAAAAAUGGAUCUAUUCGGUCAAAUUUGGAUAUCAUUAGGCACUGACCAGGACUCGACUACACAUGAAUGUUAACCCUCAUAGGGGUCAGCCAUCAUCCUAAACCAUUUAUGGAAAUGUGUGUGGAAUCUGAAGGUACCGCCGAAAAUAAGAUGCUUCAUGUAGAAGUCUUUACAUGCAGCAGUGGCAACGAUGGCUAAUUUGUUUAAUCGGCAAUCUUCUCCUUCACCCAUUUGCCCUCUUCGCAACUUGACUGAAAAGUCAAUAGAAAACCUCUUUCUUCAAUGCCCAUGGGUGGAGGCGGUGUGGUACGAGAGACGUUUGACUAGAAGUUUAUGCAGGGAGGAAAUUACAACUUGGGCGAACUGGUAGGGUGUUAUUUUUGCUUCGGUAAAUGGCGAGAAAAGUGAGAGGAGCAACUUGUUUUCAUAUAUUAACUUGUUGGCAUAUAUGGAAAUCAAGAUGCAACUUCAUUUUCAAUCAACAACCUAUUUACCCAUGGCAAGUUAUCACCGUUAUUUCCCAUUCGAUGGGUGCUUUCAAAUAGGCCAUUCGGGUACCUGUCAUCAGGCCUCUGGUCACAGUUCCAGGUUUAGGAAAUGAUGUCCAAUGGUUUCCUUCAUGUACAGGAUUCAUAAAAAUAAAUGUGGAUGCCAGUUGGAUGAAGAGUUGGGGUUCGGAUUUCAUGGGUAUGGUGGCUCGGGAUUAAGAGAGAAGGUUUGUGGCUACAUGUAGAUAUAAGGUGAUUGCUUCUAGGUUUGUGGCUACAUGCAGAUAUAAGGUGAUUGCUUCUAGCGUGGCGAUGGGGGAAGCAAAGGCUAUAUUGCAAGGAUGUAAGCUGGGGAGGUAUAUGGGCUGAAAUCAUGUCAUCGUUGAGUCUAAUUCUUUGGAAUCAGUUUCAUGUCUUCGGGAUUUGGCAACGAUGGGUAAUUGGGAAGCAUUGCCAAUUUUAGCAAAGAGCAAAGGAUUGGGGGAGGCUUUUCAUGACUGCCAGUAGUCUUAGGUUCCAAGAUCGGCCAAUACGUCGACAGACCUUUUGGCGUCAGGGCAAAGUAGAGAAGUAUGUGAUUAUAUCUAGGUCAACAGACCCCCAUCUUCCCUUGUGCAUGUUCUAUGUAAUGAUGGUCUUGUAAGAUAGACCUAAUAAAUUAUAUAUAUAUAUAUAUAUAUAUAUAUAUAUAUAUAUAUAUAUAUAUAUAUAUAUAAGAACUGACUUAUAUAUUAACCCAAUCACUAACCUGAGGGAGACAUUGUCUCAGGAAAUAGGGCGAGAAACUGAAGCUCUUCUGCAACUCUGCACUAACCUAAAGCAAGGCUCACUCAAUGGGGCUAGAGUAUUUAUGUAAACUUGCGGAUGAAGUAAGAGUGCAAGGACCUCAGUUAUAUACUGUAUAUGAUGGUCUUUGAUUAGGAGUCCUCCCAUUAAGUAAACCUUAUCAAAGAUUAACCUUAUCACCGAAAAUCACUUAUGCAUAAAUCAGCUAGAAGAAUUCUAGUUUAUCUAAGAAUGUUUCUGACUUGAAUACCUAAGUAAUACAACUCCUGAAAAGUCUACCACAUGUGCUAAUGUUAAUCUCCUUGUCGUCCCAAAAGUCUUUGUACAAAUCACAGAGUGUUGCUCUCAAAUAGAACUUACAGGUCUUCCAUGUCCCCCUUAAGUUCUAGUUGGUAGUGUGAGGAGUGACACUUUUAGCAUUAGAUGCAGUGUCGAAUGUACCUCCUUGCACUACUUCUUUCUAGUUGUUGUAGUUGGCUUGUUUGCCUCGGGGUAGGCUUCUUUGUAACCUUUGACAUCUUUGACCGGAUAAUACAUUAUCUUGUACACCAACAAAAAAAAAAAAAAACUAUACAGAGAAGGAGGGGGAGAGAGAGAGAGAGAGAGAGAGAGAGAGAGAGAGAGAGAGUUGAAACAAAUAUAUGGAUAUCUAACUCCAAGAGAGAUUAAAAUAUACAUGCAUAUGGUAUUAUCAUCGUAUCAUAAUUCAUACGUGAAGAAUAAAGUAACCGUCUGGAAGGGUAGGCUUUGUGUUUGUGGUGUGGAGAUCGGCCCUCCCUCCCUCCAUUUUCAUCACUACACUGCUAGACUGCCAGUGCUAGUCCACUAGUCUAGUACAGUAGUCGUAGUCCUGGUAAAAUUUCCAUCAAGAAAAUAAAAGGUUUGACCGAAGAAAUGGAGGCCACCGCACGCACGCAACUAGACUACUCUUGCUCUCCUUUCCAUAAUUUCUUAUUAUUAUAUAUCUUUAAUUAAUAAAUAUAUAUUUAUCAUUGUUUAUUAUUCUUGCUUUUUGCUAAGCUUUCAGGAGAAGUAAAGGAAUAAGAAUAGAAGUUGAGAGAGUUGAUAAUAUUCCCUUCACCCUCACGGUCAGAGUUUUCGAGUCACAUCCUCUUACUUAUUCUUUUAUCUCAUUCUUGUACUCCAUCAAGAAAAGGGAAGAUGAUCCCUUUCAUCUAAUCCUCAUCAUCAAACAAUUCGGGUCCUUGAAAUGUAAUAUAACUGCCACAAACAGAGGCCCACUCUAAAAGUUAUAAUAAUUUUAGUUGUUUGAUCGAAUUUCAAGGGUAUAGAUUGUUUGAUGGGGAUGAUUAGGUGAAAGAGAUUCGGAGAUGAUUCAUUUCCCUCCAUCAAUACCCACGGCCUGAAGAAGUUCAUGUGCGAGGUCACAAUUGGUGAUGGCUCAGGUGUUUUGUGUGAGGAUGUGCUGGUAAAAAAAUCUCACAUUGGUAAAAGAAAAAAUCUUGCAAUAACUUAUACGAGAUUGAGCUACUCCUCAUAUUGCCAAUUGGUUUAUGGUGGAAUUUCAACUUUUUUUAUGGUAUCAGAGCCAUAUUGACCCUUUACACGUGCUCUCAAUUGGUUUAUGGUGAAAUUUCAACUUUUUUUAUGGUAUCAGAGCCAUGUUGACCCUUUACACGUGCUCUAUGUCACCUAAAUUAUAUUAUCCACGUGCCUUUAUUGUUUUUUCCUUUUCAUUUUUAACAUGUACACACAGUACACUUGGUUCAACGUGUAACUUUUUUUUCUUUUUUGACAUUGUUAUAACAUGUUACUACAGGUUAUUAAGUUGGUUCACCCCAAUAAAGUCUCUUAAUUAAUUAAACUUUAAGUAGUCAUAUAUAUUUAUAUCUCUUUCCAUCUUCUAUAUAUAAUUUUUCUAGUAAGAAAUUCAAGCAAGAUCUGCUUCCAAAGCUUUCAUCGAGAACGGUGAAACAUAACCCCAUUUUCUUCAACUCCUUCCAUCACGAGAUCCAAUCUAUCAGGCUCAAACCCACGGGUAAAUAACCUUUCUUUUUUUAAUUAAUUAUUAUCACUACUGUAUGCUUCCUUCCUUCCUCUGAUAAAAACCCUAGAGAGAGAGACGACCCUGCAAAUUUAAAGUCCCGUUCAAAUCAUCUCUUCUCUCCUCCUCUGCAUCUUAUCUUCUCUCCGUGUUUAUCUAGUAGUCGAUUAUUCCCUACAAGAGAAGAAUCGAUAUUUUUGAACCCCUACCUUCCGCUUAGGGUUUCUGGGGUGGUGAGAGAAACUAGACAAGAAUUACUACUCUAGAAAUUAAUAUAUAAAUAUAAAUAUACAUAUAUAUGUAUGUAUCUUACUGUUUUUCUCACUGUUUUUCUCUUUUAUUUUUUGCUGGAUCUCUUUAUGGUUUUCAAGAACAUGCUUAUACACAUACAUGUUAUCUGUAAUAUUCUUGUUCAUAUGCAUGUUCUUUUGUAUAUCUAACUUCCCUUUUACAGUUCGGUAGACCAGAUCUUUUCAGACGAAAAAGAUUGCAUUUUGGUUCUUUUUUUAAAACGAAUUAAAAAAGAAGAAGAAUAUCAGUGAUAUAUGUCAAUGUUUUCUUUUUAUUUUUACUUUCUUCUACUGGCAAAUAAUACCGUAUACCUAUUUUACCUGACCAUCGUGUUCACUCGAAUUUUGAAUCAUUACUUAGUUGAUUUUCUAGGGGAAUUAUUCAAGGUAAUAUAUAAGAGGGAAAUUCCACCUUUGAUUGGCCGGCGCUGAUCUUACUAUGGCAAAGCCGCCACUAUGCCAUAGAUUUUGCAUUCUCUCUCUUUUCUUGUUCGAAUUCAUUUCUUAUUAGGUCCGUUUGUUUGUUUAAUUUCUUUUCCACUCGGGUUGGGCCUAUUCAUUCAUCAUGAUUCAUUGAAUAUUCCUUUUCUGCCGAACGUUUCUCAUCCUUUUUGCAGCAUUUGUUAUUCAUUGCAAGAAUUCAGAUCAGUGUUUUGGUGAGAUAAUCAUCAGUACCACUUAAUUACUGUCCGUCAUGGUAACGGGACAAGUUUAAAGAUGCUGAUAAGAAAAUUAAACAUCGACCAAAAAAUUAUUCUUCCAUCUGUGAUUCGGUGAAUGUAUAAGGUUUUUUUUCUUUUCAUUUUUUUGUAGUUAACCUUUUUUUAUUUUCAGUUUAUGCCAUGGGAAUUUUAGUUUUGGAAUUUUCGCGAUCUUUGUAUGCUGAUGAUGAUGGUUAUGAUCUUAUUUAAUACGUGUAUUAUAUAUGUAAUAUUAAUGAAUGGAUUGGUCAAAUACAGAGGAGGAAGAGGUGGAAGAUGGCAUCGUCGUCGACAAAUUCGCCAUGCGCGGCGUGUAAGUUCCUGCGACGUAAGUGCCAGCCAGAGUGCGUAUUUGCGCCAUACUUCCCACCGGACCAGCCGCAUAAGUUUGCUAAUGUUCACAAAGUUUUUGGGGCCAGCAACGUCACUAAACUGCUCAAUGAGUUGCACCCACACCAGCGUGAGGACGCCGUCAACUCGCUCGCCUACGAGGCCGAUAUGCGCCUCCGCGAUCCCGUCUACGGCUGCGUUGGAGUCAUCUCUCUCCUCCAACACCAACUCCGCCAACUUCAGAUGGAUCUGACCUGUGCUAAAUCCGAACUCUCCAAAUAUCAAAAUCUCACUGCCAGCCACGGACUCAUAGCCGCCGCCGCUGCUGCCGCCGCAACUGCCACUGCUGCCGCCCACACCCACAGUAACAAUAACAAUAAUAAUAACGAUCAGGACCAUCAUCUACAUUUACAGUCCUCUUCACUCAACAACUUGGGGAUGGGCAUCAAUCUCAUUUCAGGCGGCGGAGGCCGAGAACACUACCCCAACCAGUUUUUUCCCAGAGAUCGAGAUCAUCAUUCCUAUCAUCAGCAACAGAUGAUGUUUAGGAGCCUUGAUGGCGGAAACAACUACGAUGCAAGCCUUCUUGCCAUGAACGCUGCUGCAGGGGGCAUUUAUGGCCAACUCAGUCAACAGCUCCAGCAAACUAGGGCUGCUGCUGGUGACGACCGCCGAACCAUUGAUCCUUCUUAAUUAGGAUUUCCUCGUUUCCUUGCCUACUCACAACAACUUUAACCAAUCCCAUCAAAUUAUUUCAGGUACGUCCAUUAUUAUUAUUAUUUUUAUAGGAAAAAUACGAUAUUCAUUUAGGAUUGAGUAGAAUAAGUACGUCUUAUACAUAAAUAUACAAUUACAAAUUUUAUAUUUCAUUUCCACAGUAAUAUCAAUUUGGUUGUGAUCCAUUUAUUAGUUUUAUUGUUGUUGUUCUUGUUAUUUCCGGCUUUUGAUGGUUGGAUAUAUAAGUGCCCUUAAUUAGUACUGUAUGAUUACUUUUGUAGGUCAAUUAUGCGCUAAUUGACAUACAGUCAAUCAGGCCAAAUGCUUAUCAAAUAAAAGUUUUCAAAUUUUUAAUUUUAUGGUGAAAAUUAAUUGUUGAAGUUCGUAUUUAGUUAUUUAAAAACAUAUUUUAAUAUUUUCUUCUUUCAACAGAAAAGUAAUUUAUUAUUGUUUACUAUUAAGGUGAUCUGUAAAAUACUCAAAAUUAACCAUAAACACUAGAGUGAUUUGAUUGAUAUCCUACAUUUGUUAAGGAUAUACCGAAAGUACUCUAAAUUCAUACAACCGCUUAACUUAACCAAACUAUUCCUACACCCGCACUGCCAAAUACAGUGUUUUAAAAAGUCGAUAGCUUCCAACCGAAAGUGAGUAAAGUUUCAGCCAAGUUAUGCUGAAACCGUGUUGAAUUUUUCGCAAAAUGUACUGAGGUAAUGUUUUGGGAGGUGCAUGCUUACCGAAAUUGUUUUAAAAAUCAGUAUGUACUAAUUGAAUAUAUCCACUUUUUUGUUAGAUAUCUAUCGAAAUGUCUUCACUUUUUGGGUAUAGAUCUACCAACAUAUCUUCAUAAUUAAGAGAAAUAUCAAAUAAAAUACUGUCUCGUGGUUUAGGGUUUGACCAGCGUUAUGACUUCCACAUGAUGCAAAAUGGGAACAAAAGAGUUAUAUAUAUACAUAUAUAUAUACACCUUAUAUGCAGUAAACAGUCGAUUUUGUGUUCUAUUUGUCAAAGUUAACCGUACCAAAGUGAGUGUGAGUAUUUCCGUCACUAGUGGUAGGGGUUUAUUUGAUCCCACAAUAAAGGGUGGGAGCAUGUACGAGAGUUUGAAGAAAAAGACUCUUGGUGUGUAGAUGUUAUUUCAUGGUGGACGUGGGACUUUGAAAAUCCUUCCUCCAAACAUAACCAUACCCAAAAUAGUAUUUUAUAGUGGUACAUCUAAAUUAUUAGUAUAUUCAACAAAUUGUGAGUGCCAAUAACCCACUCUAAAUAAUUAUUUUAUUUUUGAAAACCCUAAAUAUUUUUAAGUGAGCACAUCCGAAGAAGAGUCCAACUUAAUGAAGGGAAAAAAAAAACAAAUGACGUUUUAUCGCCACGGCAAAAAACAAUCACGUCUAAACACUCUCGUGUGAGUCCGAUACUCACAAAUCCCUCGUUACCCUUACAGCUAACAGUUUAACUCAUUUACAAUAUCGUUUAUCCAAAACAAAAAAAAAAAAAAAAAAAGGAAAAAGAAUACGAUACAAAUCCCACUGUUGUACCUACAUCAAAAUACUGUUAUCAAUUCGUUCCUUUCUUUUUUAUCCAUUUAAAACGAAAUAAAUUCUUACUGUGAAAGAAAAAUUGAUUAUACCCAAAACUGACUUUAGGACUUUUUUACAACAAAAGAAAAACAGCCUUUGGGACUGUAUAUAAAUAACCCGAAGUCCGGACUCGGACUAUUCGCUGGAAGCAAUCAUUAUGCAAACAGCCUUACACUGCGCACGGUUGUAUUGUUUGACAAUCUCUACUCAUGCGAAAAGCUAGCUAAAUAAUUUUGUGUUUAAUUAGGUUUUGCUUUAUAAGUCAUACAUGCAUAGUCCCACACUCAUGAUUUUGUUAACUCUUUCUAUCCAUUUGUUUUGGCACAGAUAUGCAGGGUAUAUUAACUAUCAAGAAGAAAAAGUUCGAGAGAUUUCAAAAGCCAAAAGAAACAGUCCGAUGAGGGAGAGAGAGAGAUGGGUGGAAGAGGCAGUCUAAUUUGAUUAAUCAAUACCCCAUUUACAGACAAUUUAAUUAUAUCUAAUUUAUGUCUCUUGGAAAUUGUUUUCUCAUACACAUAGUAUAUCAACUAUAAAUAUAUUUUCUUUGCAUAUAUAUAUAUAUAUAUAUAUAUAUAUAUAUAUAUAUAUAUAUAUAUUAGUAUUGCAAUCCUCCUCCGUCCUCUAAGGAGAAACAAAAGGGGGAAAAAAAGAACCAGAACAUGCCCAACAAAAAUAAAGAAAAAGGGAAAACAAGUUUGUCCAGAAAGUGUCCUUCAACUCGCAGCAGUCUCACCAGUAAAAUUAGGAGACAUAGUGCAUGGGUCUGGAGGAUUUGUUUGCACUCUGUCUCAACAAUAAAAUUAGGAGACAUAGUGCAUGGGUCUGGAGGAUUUGUUUGCACUCUGUCUCAACAAUAAAAUUAGGAGACAGAUAUCUAUUUGCAGCAGUCCCAUAUAUAUGAUCCUAUUCCUAUAAUAGCUUAGUCAUUUCUAAAUUUAAUUUGGUUAUGAAAUUUGAAAAUCUUUGACAUAUAAUAUAUGCAUGAUCAUAAAUCAUAAUAAUGUUAAAGCAUAUAUCCCCGUAUGAUGAUAUGGUAAGUUUCAAAAAGAUGGAUGCAUUGUAGACUAAGUUUUGUACACUAAAUAACAUGAAAGUUGACGAUUUGAUUAUUACGUAAGAAAACGUGCUUAUUUUGUAUUGAUAAUGUAUUAUAGUUUGCAAAUUUUGUUUAAAAACUUUGCCUGCCUAGUAUUAUCCUUAGUUUUGUGUGUGAAAUAGUUUUAUCGAAGAGCAUGCUAGGCCAUAAGUUUUGGGGUCAUCAAUAUAUAAUGAUUAAUGAGUUACCAUUUUAGUUGAGAAUUAUUAUUAGCACUUUAAAAAUCUCAUUUGGCACUCCAAACUUUCUAUAAUUAGAAAGAAAAAUACACGUUUGAGAAGUGUAGAAUGAGAUUUUUGAAGUAUUAAUAACAGUUCCCUUUUAGUUUGUACAAUAUUAUAGUUAACAUAAAAUUUCUCUCAGAACUCAGAAAUCAUUUAACCAACUGGUGAAAUGUUGUAAGUUACUUGACAACACUUAAUGCAAUUUGCAAGUGGAGGUGUCCUUUUUCCAAUAUUAGGGUUUAUAUAUAUAUAUUUUUUGGUCCUAGUAAUUUAAUUAGACAGACGCGGCAAAAGGAAUAGUGUAGCCAGCAUAUAUAUAUGCAUUUUGAAAUUUAUAUAUAUACACACUGUAGAGAGUAUAUAUAGAUAUAUACGGAUGAUAAAUGCCUGGGCAAAAUUAGUUUGGAAGUCAUGGAGACUGCUAAGCAAGCAUAAGGCAUUUCUUCCGUUCCCGGACAAAGGCAGAAGACAACGUAAUAAGACAAAAUGACUGACUGACGGAUAGGUGGAUGGAUGGGAGAAAUUAAUUAAGCCGACCCUCAACCGAGAGAGAGAGUGCGCGUGUGUGUGUGUGUGAGCCUAGUUUUUCUCUUUCUGCCAGAAACAUGAAAGGCCAUUCCAGAGAGGAUGUCAUGGCCAUUUACUACCCUCGGUACAGAAUACUCACUUAUAAUUUAUGAAAAGAAUGAAAAAAAAAAGAACUAAUUAAAAUCCCAUGCAAAACAAUUAUAGAAAUCAACCUGCACGAAAAAGAGAUUAGCUAGCUAGCCAGACUGAUCAGAAAGAUUAGAGGAGAACAAGUAGACAGAUAGAGAUCCUCCCCAUAUAUAGCAAGAUAAACAUGAACUUAAUUAAGAAAAGGGGUCUUUUGAUAUGGGUCCAAUUGGACUAAAAAUUGGACCUAUUUUAAAAGUCAAAAGUCACUAAAAAUUAGACAUAUUUCAAAAGAUAAGCUAUAAAAUUAGACCUCUUUCAAAUUUUCCCUAAAAAGAAUUAACUGAAUAUGUUAGUGGCAGGCAGAUGCUGAGUCUACGGGCUCUCUAAUUUUAUAGCUAAGCUAGGCAAUCACUCAACAGUGAAAGAUAAAGUCUCUUAUCUAAUGGGAAGUGUUAUUGGCACUUCAAAAAUUUUAUUCUAUACUUAUCACAAAUGUAUUUUUCUUUCCAAAUAUAGAAAGUUUGGAAUGUAUAAUGAGAUUUUUAGAGUGCCAAUAACAAUUCUCUAUCUAAUAAUGUAUUGCCAUAUAUAAAUUUUUUUUCCUAAAUAACAAUAUUUAUUGGAUCAACCUAAAUGAUAAUAGACUCAUUACGUAAAAGGUGCUCUUCAUGGUCUCGACUCUCGUGGGUGAAAACUGAAAACCCAUGCUUCUCUAUCCCUUGCUUCCCUUCCCAAUUCGUUAUUUGGUUCCAAAGUCAAAAACGGACGUAGUCAAAUCAAAUAAAAUACAACAACAACAACAACAACAAAGCCUUUUCCCACUAAGUGGGGUCGGCUAUAUGAAUCCUAGAACGCCAUUGCGCUCGGUUUUGUGUCAUGUCCUCCGUUAGAUCCAAGUAAUCAAGUCUUUUCUUAGGUCUCUUCCAAAGUUUUCCUAGGUCUUCCUCUACCCCUUCGGCCCUGAACUUCUGUCCCGUAGUCACAUUUUCGAACCGGAGCGUCAGUAGGCCUUCUUUGCACAUGUCCAAACCACCGGAACCGAUUUUCUCUCAUAUUUCCUUCAAUUUUGGCUACUCCUACUUUACCUUGGAUAUCCUCAUUCCCAAUCUUAUCCUUUCUCGUGUGCCCAUACAUCCCACGAAGCAUCCUCAUCUCCACUACACCCAUUUUGUGUACGUGUUGAUGCUUCACCGCCCAACAUUCUGUGCCAUACAACAUCGUUGGCCUUAUUGCCGUCCUAUAAAAUUUUUCCUUGAGCUUCAGUGGCCUACGACGAUCACACAACACGCCGGAUACACUCUUACACUUCAUCCAUCCAACUUGUAUUCUAUGGUUGAGAUCUCCAGCUAAUUCUCCGUUCUCUUGCAAGAUAGAUCCUAGGUAGCGAAAACGGUCACUUUUUGUGAUCUUCGCUAGAUUGCUCCGGUCAUUAGUGUGGAUAAGUAUAUAAAUGGAUAGAGAUAGGAAAGCAAACAUAAGAUGUACGUGAUUCACCCAGAUUGGCUACGUCCACGGAAUAGAGGAGUUCUCAUUAAUUGUGAAGGGUUUACACAAGUACAUAGGUUCAAGCUCUCCUUUAGGGAGUACAAGUGAAUGAUUUAGUACAAAUGACUUUAGGAAAUAUUGUGGGAGAAUGAUCUCGUAACCACGAAACUUCUAAGUCCCGGAGUGUGGUAUCGGCUUGACUUUCCUUAUCUGUCUCAUAGGUAGAUGUGGAAUCUUCUCUGGAAGUACUCUUCUUCCAUCCAGGGGUGGUAUCUGUAACUGGUGGAGAUGCACAAGGUAAUGUAUCAAUGUCACUUGAAGCUUACUUGUAGUUUCAGGCUUGGUCAAGCGCGAUACAAACCAUGUAGUAGGAGUCCCCCAAGUCGCCGAGCUAGGGGAUCUGCUGAAAGAGGUAACAGACAAGGUAAGCAAUCAGAGCUCCGGCUGAUUGUUCACAUUCUCCCUAUCUUGCAGGCAGCAUGAAGGAUAAAGAGAAGAAAAAUGAGAAGAGAUGAUAUGGGAUACUUUUGCUUUUGAAGAAGUAACUUUCCAUAGGCUUAUUCUUGAACUGGGCUGGAGGGUUUUCUGGUUUCCUCCAAAGUAUAAGGCCGACUGAAGAAUUUGAGGGUCAAAACAAGUCCAUCAAAUCUAGAGUACGUUCGACCCUGCUGAUAUGGGAUACUUUUGCUUUUGACAGAGUAGUGGAUGUAUCGGCACGUGUGCUGUUACGCUUGUCUCCACAUGCUUCCUUGUAUCCUUCUCACUUGCCCUAUCUGUUCCUCAGGCAGAUGCGGUAUCUUCCCUGGGGAGCAUAAGAUGUUGAAGAUGAGUACUCGAGAGCAAUGCCAGGGUAAGGGGUUCCAGGCAGUCAGUUCCUGGCUGGAAGCUUGAUUCCAAGUGCUGACUGAUUGCUCUCUUUCUCCUUGUCUUGCAGGUAAGAACAAGGCCAAAGGAAAAGACAGGGAAAAAGCAUAAUAUGGGAUACUCUUGCUUUUAACCCUGAUGAUAUGAGAUAUUCUUGCUCUAGUAUAGCUUGUUUACAGAGGUAUUAUCGGGGGGAAAGAAAGCUGAAUAUUUCGAAAGGCUUCGUUGGGAGUGCCCUCUCAGAUAAGAGGAAGGGUUGAGCAUUUUUGCAGGUCUGCCUGUCCGUUGGGGAUGGAGGUCGACAUAUAUAGAAGUCUCCCUAACAUCAAGUAAUAAUGCUAUUCCUUUACCCUGCUUGGUCAUAGCACGGUAGUGGGAGCUGCCAGCUUCACAAGUUUUAACUCUGUCAGAGCACUUUGAAAAAGUGGUAUGUGGUAUCUGGAAAGCUGAUGUUGCGUGUGAAGAUUACAGACAAGCUUUAUCCAAGGAGAUCCGGCUCUUGAAGUUGGGAAAGUGGUACCUCUUCGGUUUUCGAACAAGCAAUCCUGUCGGGGAUCUGGCUCUCGAGAUUCGGAGAACGAUGCCUCUUCGAUUUUUGAGAAAGCAAUCAUGCUGGGGGUCUGGCUCUCGAGAUUCGGAGAACGGUGUCUUCGAUUUUUGAGAAAGUAAUCAUGUUGGGAGUUGGGAGUGUUUUUCUCGAAUAUGAGUAAAGGUUGGGCAUGUUUGCUAGUCUACCUUGCCACGAAGCACAGAGGUUGACACACAGGGACUUUCCAAUUAUCCAGCAGUGGUACUGUUCCUUUACCCUCUCUUCGAUUUUUGAGAAAGUAAUCAUGUUAGGAGUCUGGCUCUCGAGAUUCGGAGGGCGGUGCCUCUUCGAUUUUGGAGCAAGCAAUCUUGUUGGGGGUGUUUUCUCGAAUGUGAGUAAAGGUUGGGCAUGUUUGCUAGUCUACCUUGCCACGAAACACAGAGGAUGACACACAGGGACUUUCAAAUUAUCCAGCAGUGGUACUGUUCCUUUACCCUCUCUUCGAUUUUUGAGAAAGUAAUCAUGUUGGGAGUCUGGCUCUCGAGAUUCGGAGGGCGAUGCCUCUUCGAUUUUGGGGCAAGCAAUCUUGUUGGGAGUGUUUUCUCGAAUGUGAGUAAAGGUUGGGCAUGUUUGCUAGUCUACCUUGCCAUGAAGCACAGAGGUUGACACACCGGGACUUUCCAAUUAUCCAACAGUGGUACUGUUCCUUUACCCUUGUGGGUAAUAAUAUGGUAGCUAGGCCGUCAAAAUUUAUGUGUCUAAACUUUGUUAGUGUUGUUUCUUUGCUAUUCUUUUACCCUUCUUGGUCAGAGCGAUGUAGUGAGAGUUGCAAGCUUCACGUGUCUCGACUUUGUCAGAGAACUUUGGCAAAGUUAUAUGUGGUACCCAUGAGCUACUGUUGCGUGUGGGAAGUGGGUGAUUGAACAGUACGAUUCCUGUGCUUUCUACUUCGCCAGAAAUCUUCGAUAGAAUGCCCAUAAUUUCCGCAAAGCUGAGUGUGCGUGUGACAGGUGCUGACAAGGCUGGAAAAGUAGUCUCAACUUUGUCAGAGAACUUUGGCAAAGUUAUAUAUGUGGUACCCAUGAGCUACUGUUGCGUGUGGGAAGUGGGUGAUUGAACAGUACGAUUCAUGUGCUUUCUACUUCGCCAGAAAUCUUCGACAGAAUGCCCAUAAUUUCCGCAAAACUGAGUGUGCGUGUGACAGGUGCUGACAAGGCUGGAAAAGUAGGUGCCUCUUCGAUUUCUGAGAUUGACCCUCGUGGUCUCUGAGCAGCCCAGCUUUUGAGAAAGCAAACCUCUUCGAUUUCUGAGAUCGGCCCUCGUGGUCUCUGAGCAGCCCAGCUUUUGAGAAAGCAAACCUCUUCGAUUUCUGAGAUCGGCCCUCGUGGUCUCUGAGCAGCCCAGCUUUUGAGAAAGCAAACCUCUUCGAUUUCUGAGAUCGGCCUUCGUGGUCUUUGAGCAGCCCAGCUUUUGAGAAAGCAAACGCCUCUUCGAUUUCUGAGAUCGACCAUCGUGGUCUCUGAGCAGCCCAGCUUUUGAGAAAGCAAACGCCUCUUCGAUUUCUGAAGCUUCGUCGAGUGCAGAUUUUUAUAGAGGCUGACAUUAAGUUCCAAAGCACACUUGAAUAUCCACCAGUAGAAGCUCCAUUCUUGCACUUCUAAGAUCUUGAUUUGUCCGACCUCUUCUCUUUUUUCUACACCUUUGAAAAUGUCUGGCCCCUCCGACCGUCGUUUUGACUUGAACCUUGUUGAAGAGGCAGCCCCGCCUUCUCCAGACAACAUAUGGCGCCCAUCCUUCGUCUCCCCUACUGGUCCUCUUACCGUUGGGGAUUCCGUGAUGAAGAAUGAUAUGACCGCUGCGGUAGUGGCCAGGAACCUUCUCACUCCCAAAGAUAACAGACUACUUUCCAAACGGUCUGAUGAGUUGGCUGUUAAGGAUUCUCUGGCUCUUAGUGUUCAGUGUGCAGGUUUUGUGUCUAAUAUGGCCCAACGCCUAUUUGCUCGAACCCGCCAAGUUGAAUCAUUGGCGGCUGAAGUGAUGAGUCUCAAACAGGAGAUUAGAGGGCUCAAGCAUGAGAAUAAACAGUUGCACCGGCUCGCACAUGACUAUGCUACAAACAUGAAGAGGAAGCUUGACCAGAUGAAGGAAUCUGAUGGUCAGGUUUUACUUGAUCAUCAGAGAUUUGUGGGUUUGUUCCAAAGGCAUUUAUUGCCUUCGUCUUCUGGGGCUGUACCGCGUAAUGAAGCUCCAAAUGAUCAACCUCUGAUGCCUCCUCCUUCUAGGGUUCUGUCCAGUACUGAGGCUCCGAAUGAUCCCCCUCCGGUGCCUUCUCUUUCUGGGGCUCUACCGACUGCCGAGACUUCUCCUAAGCAACCUUUGUGAAGGCUCCCUCUUGUUUGUUUAUUUUGACUCAAGUAUAUGUACAUAUUUGUAAUUUAUCGGGGAUAUCAAUAAAUAAGCUUUCCUUCAUUUCAACGUAUUGUGUUAAAUCACCAAAGCCUUUUUCGCUAAGUUCUUUGAAUUUUCUUUUGUUGAAGCUUGUAUGUUGAAGCUUUGUGAGUGGAGCAUGUAGGUUGAGGUAGUGUUCCCUUAAUUUCCCGAGCGAGGACAACUUCUCGGUUGGAGACUUGGAAAAUCCAAGUCACUGAGUGGGAUCGGCUAUAUGAAUCUUAGAACGCCAUUGUGUUCUGUCCUGUGUCAUGUCCUCCGUUAGAUCCAAGUACUCUAAGUCUUUUCUUAGGGUCUCUCUCAAAGUUUUCCUGGGUCUUCCUCUACCCCUUCGGCCCUGAACCUCUGUCCCAUAGUCGCAUCUUCUAAUCGGAGCGUCAGUAGGCCUUCUUUGCACAUGUCCAAACCACCGUAACCGAUUUUCUCUCAUCUUUCCUUCAAUUUCGGCUACUCCUACUUUACUCCGGAUAUCCUCAUUCCUAAUCUUAUCCUUUCUCGUGUGCCCACACAUCCAACGAAGCAUCCUCAUCUCCGCUACACCCAUUUUGUGUACGUGUUGAUGCUUCACCGCCCAACAUUCUGUGCCAUACAGCAUCGCCGGCCUUAUUGCCGUCCUAUAAAAUUUUCCCUUGAGCUUCAGUGGCAUACGGCGGUCACACAACACGCCGGAUGCACUCUUCCACUUCAUCCAUCCAGCUUGUAUUCUAUGGUUGAGAUCUCCAUCUAAUUCUCCGUUCUUUUGCAAGAUAGAUCCUAGGUAACGAAAACGGUCACUCUUUGGUAUUUCUUGAUCUCCGAUCCUCACCCCUAACUCGUUUUGGCCUCCAUUUGCACUGAACUUGCACUCCAUAUAUUCUGUCAAAUCAAAUAAAAUAAAAAUGAAAAAUGAUUUCCAUGGCAAUGCUGACGUACUAGUGCAAUGAUGGUCUUGGCCUUAAAUGCAGUUGCCAUUUGCCAUUUGCCAGUCGUCUGUGUCUCCUCAUAAAUUCUCUCUUUCUCUCGUAUGCAUAUUCCUACGCAUACAUAUAUAGGGUAUUUUUCAAGAGAUUACAUUUAUAAAUUAAACUAUGUAAAUUAAAUGAUAUAAAAAUUGAUGAUUAGUUGACUAAUUUUUUACAAAUUUAGUCUAAAAUUUAGCCUACAUAGCAUUAUUUAUAUACAGGAAAUGAUCCUCAUUUUUCAAAAAAAAUAGAGAUACCCUCUUGACCGUUAGAUUUGACUUUAAUGCAAUUCUGUGAUUGAGAUUAAAUCACAGACCACAGAAUCUCAACUACAUAAUUUCAUUAAAGCUAAAUCUAACGGUCAAGAUGAUGUUCCCUUUUUUUUUUUUUAAAUGGGGAUCCCUUCUCUUAAAAGCUUCAUACUUUUACACACACACACACACACAUAUAUAUGAUAAUGUUAUGAAGACUAAAUUUUUAAACUAAAUUUUAUAAAGUAAAUGAUGUGGUUGUUCAUAAUUGGAUUAUUACUUAAGUCUUGAUUAAUGUGCUCAUUUUUUAUUUAUGCCACAUCAUUUAGUUUACAAAUUAAUUUAAAAUUUUAAUUUCCCUAAUAUUACAUAUAUAUGGGUGUGAAAUAAUCCAUUUAUCUGUCUAUCUAAUCCUCGGAUCUAUCUAUCUACUCUUAUGACCUAUUAUAUGUGAAUAUGAUCUAAUAUGUAUUCAUCAGCGAUUAGGGGUACGUACUUACUAUAAUCCUCUGACGCUUCUUGCACUCAUGCUAUUGCAAUACUGCAUUAUAGUCGGAUGCAGUAUUCAUCAUAUCAUGUACGUAGAUAUGCAUGCAUAUGUGUAUAUGCUAAGUGCUAACCUAUGUACGUAUUUACAAGGGCUUAUAAUAUUUGGUCCACUUUUGUAACAUUAGUUUGGAUCUGAUCUAUUUAUUCAUUUUAACACAAAAAAAUGGGGUCUAGCUAAAUAAAAACCUUGCCACCUAGAUUAUCUAGUUAUGUUUGAUAUUUUCUAAUAUUACUAACCAGCCGCUCGACCUAAACAGCAACCUCCUUCCUUCAAUCCCUAAUUAAAUCCUUGCCAGCGUUUACUUCUAACUCUAACAUUACAAAUUACAUGUCCUAAACCUGCUCCCUCCCUUCAUAUUUGUAAACACCAAAUUAGUGAACCUGUGUAAUAAGUUAUAAAAAUCAGUGAACCAGCUGUGCCGAUUCUAUCAUUACUUAACGUAUAUUCCUAUAAUUAGUGAACCUGUGGGCUAGAGUUGUGUCCCCAAUUAAGGUAAUUGGAUAUGUGGUUUUAAAUGGUUUUGAUUGUGAAAGUGCCUUUUUUUUAUGAUUUACUUUUCUGCUUUAGUUGGUGAACCUAAGCACGUGAAACUUCCUUGUUAGUGAACCUAUCAUCGUUAAUGGCCCUAUCAGCGUGGUCUACCAAGUAACACUUGUUAGAGUUUUGAGAUUUUUGUCCCACAUUGGAGAAAACAAGAUUCUCAAUGACCUUUAUAUAUGUUUUGUUCUUUACAAUAUUAGUUAGGUGUUUGAUCAUUUGGAAUGGGGAUUGAGGCUUGGGCCACCAUUUGUGAAUAUUGGGCUUGAUGAUUAUACCAUAAUAUUAAUAUUAAUUAAUCAAGACAAGGGCCUAAUAAUUAAAAUUAAUCUGAUCAAUUAGUUUUAAUUUUCGAAUUAAGUUUUUAAUUAAAAUUAAUUAAAAACGUUUUGAUUAAUAGACACAACUAGAGUUGUAUAGUUCAGAUACAUCGAAAAGGUAUUUGAAGAUGUAUGAAAUAGCCUAUAUAACUAAAGUCCUCAGUUCCAUUCCAUAUCAUCUUUUCUUCCUUCUUUCUUCUGUACGAAAUUUUCAGAGAGUAAACACACAAAGCAAAUUCGCUAGAAUUCUAGAAUCCAAGAAAUAUUGUUCGAAUGACAUAGCUAUUACGCUAGCCUCUACCUUCUGUAAUCACGUUAGUACCAUUGAUAUUCUUGUUUUUAUUUCUGUAUUUCAUUUUGCACAGCAAGUAUUUUGAUUAAUAAAUAUUCUACAAUUUCGAGUUCUGUUAUUUUGUAUUUAUUUCUGAAUUAUUCUCCAACAACACUUUUAUGCAUGGUUUAUUCCUUACUCAAAGCUUGAUGCAAGUUAGGUUAGACCAUUGUCGAAAUUUUGCCGUGUUGUAUUGAGGAUGAGGAACCAAAUCAGAAUAAUUCAUAUUUCAUAUAGAUGUGCAUGACGUGGUUUUUGGAGUUAUUUAAACCAUAUUGCAAAGGGAUGUCAUCGAAAUACCAUAAGAGAUCAAGUUUACUCAACACUUGAUCUUGAUGAACAGACCCAUUUUCGCUAGUCCCCCAAUAAGAGUACCAAAGGAGCACAAAUUAGGAGAGUGUAAACAUGCUAACCAAAGCAAACCAAAACUUUCAUAUAUGAUACCUCUAAUCAAGGUCCGAAGCACAUGAACAACAAAGUCUAAAUAUACUAAUAUGCAUAUGUACAAUGUCUCAAUAGCUUAUAAACAGUGAAAGUCAAAAGAGUUAAACAAAGAGACAAAGUACUCAAAAUCAAGAGCAUUAAGAUCGUGUAACCGUGCAUAAAUUUAACACAAGAAUUUAGAUUUCUAAAUAUAGCCUAAUGGUAUAUAGCGUACUCGGAAAAAAAAAUACAAAACACAUCUUUAAAAUUAGGCUAACACUGUCACUAGUACUAGGGUCUAGUGGUAUUCUGCACUUGUGUAAAGGUUUUAGGUUCGAUUCUCGCCAAAGGCAAAUUUAAACCACAAUAUUGCUAGCCUAUUAUGAGGCUUAUCCACUCUCCACCCUUUAGUAUAGAAAAUAUCAUUUUUUUUUUUAAAUUAGGGUAACACAUUAUCAUAAAAAUAAGAAAGCCAAUAGACCUGGAUUGAUAUGCAUAAACUUCAUGAUAAAUCUAAUAAUUGAUGACAAACUAAAUUGGAUCUAUUUAUAACUAUCUCGUAUUUAGGCGUGGAUUUAAGAUGGACCUUAUUUGAAGUAUAAUUGUGGUAAUUAAGGAUGCUUGAUCGUUUAAUUAACUAGCUAAGACGACAUAAUGCAACACAGGGCACCAAUUUGCAGUGUAUAUAGAUUGCUCUAGUUGUUAUAUACAUACCAGCAGUACUGUUAAAAAAAGGACCUGAAGGACAAAUGGAAUUAUAUAUAUAUAUUCAUUAAUUGAUUCAUUAGAUCUUAGACUUCAAGAAGCAGAGUUACAUAGAAAUCAAGGGGGAUUAGAAGUUGUCUAGGAAUCGCCUCGAUGAAAUAAUUGUGAAUGUGAUGGUGUGAGUUAACUCAAGCUCAAGAUGGCCUAGACGAUAUAUGAAUGGGUGUGGUUGACAUGAGGCUUUUCGUGUCAAUAGUACAAGGACCAGUUGGGGUGUGGUCGGGAUCGGGGUCGGGAGGAACAAAAUGUUCGGCCACACAAAUAUCUAAAGUUUAAGUUAAUAUAAAUAGCAACAUUAUAUUCGAAUAUGACUGAAGAAUAAAAUUACAUAGUUAAACACGACAAAAAUAAAAAAGAAAUUCAAGACCUACACUUACGUCUUGUCUAACUUCCCCAUUUUCCGGAAAAAAAAAACAUUUCCACUUUUUUAUUGAUAAUUUUGCAACAAAGAAUGCAUGGAGAUCCAUCUAUAAGUGAAACUUUAAUGUUGUACUUUUUCCAGGUUUUGUUCAUUUGGUCUCUUAGGAAUUAAGAUUGAACUAAUUGUUGAUUAUUUAGUAAUGAUUAUUUUUGUAGCUUUCUUUACUUAUUAUGUAAUGAAAUUUGGAAACUCAUAAUUAGCAUGAGUUUUAAAGUUUGUUUGAGUUUUAAUUAUUGCUCUCUAGUAUCAAUAUAAUAGAUAAUAAAUAUUUUUUAAAAAAAAUUGGAAGACUAUCUUAAGAAGGCUCCUUCAUAAAUUUAGCAUAUGGCCUCCGAAAUUUCAAAGAUGGCCGUUUCUUAAUUUGUUUCCACAUAUUCUACUUUUGUUAUUGGGUUAGCCAUACACUUUACAUAUUUCUAACGAUUCAUAUGACAUCAUCAAAUAAUUCAAGUCUUGGAUAAGAAUAUACAAUGCACUAGAAUGUCCUCGUUGGCAAUCCUUGUAUUAAUUGAACGGAAUGUCACCAUGUCGAUUUGCCUAUGCCAUACAAGUCCUUCUUAAGAUAAAGGAGCAAAUGGAUAUAUUUCGAGAGAAAUAUUAGGAAGAUGAGAUUAUACCAUCUCUUUAAUAAAGAUGAAAUAUAUUUGUAUUGGUGAGCUCUAUUUUUAUUUUGAAAAUAAUGUAAUGUGGUUCACCAAAAUAUAGUCCCUCUAACAUUUGCAGUUUGCACGACUAUUUUUUUUUCUUUCAAAUAUCUAUUUUUCUAGUGGAGGAAAGAGGCAAAUCAUAUCAGUAUAUGAGCAAGCAAACAAAUUGUAGAAAGGUGUAGAUAUUUAGCAUUUAUUCCGGGUUGUCCCUCUGCCUCAGGCUCAACGCGGUGAAAUAAUAACAACCCAUUAAAGCACGAAUGGGAUCCCCAUGUGUAAUUCAAGGACAAAUCCAUCCAGUAUUUACUACUCAAUGCCUAACACAACCCUUUUGCAGUUAUUGGACAGUGCCAACUCCAACACUAUUCUCUCCUCCUUCUCUCCUCCUCCUCCUCCAUGCAUCCCCAUCAGACUCUCUCUCUCUCUCUCUCUCUCUCUCUCUCUCUCUCUCUCCAGUAGCCAGGUCGGCAUGAAUAUGAGAUGACUAAUCAUCAGCCCACACUGAUCAAUCAGCAAGUAUUAUUCCAGGCAGCGCAGGCAGGCAUCAGCAGGGCAGGGCCUUGAGUCUUGACUAUUCUCUCUUUCUCUUGUACCAUUUACUUAAUUCAAUGUCUUGACUAUUCUCUCUUUCUCUUCUUGGAAUUUGGCCUCACACCCUUUCCAAUAUUUAUAUUAUAAUACAUACAUACAUACACACACAUAUAUAUAUAUAUAUUAUAAUAUAUCAAACUUCCAUUACAAAACAAACAAAAAGAAAGAAUAGGUAGGAGAUAGAGAAAAAAGGGAAAAAGAACAUUUCCUCAGUGGCAGCAACACCUGUUACAUCUUUUUCUUCCCCGCUUCCUUAAUUUCGUGCCUUUUGUCCCCCCUCCAAACUCCCAACUCCCAACUCUAAACCCUUGCCUUCACUCUUCAAGGAACUAACGACUUAAUAUUUACUCUGUCUUUUUCUCAAUAUACUAUCUAUAUAUACAUGUUAAAUUUGGCAUCUGCAUAACUAAUCGACAAUAUACAGUGAAUGGUACUACUUUUAAUUGCAUCGAGCUUCUUACAGACAAUAUUGAUGUGGUUAACACUAAAAAUGCUAACCCAUCUCUCUCUAACUUUAACAGAAAAUCAAAGAGGAUUGAUUAAAUAGGAUCGAGUUAGUGAGUAUUUACUUUUCUUUCCUUGCUUGAAGUAUUGAGUCUGGUUGCACACAUAGUUAGCAAAAUACAGAACAGGUAAAGUACGUGAAAAAAAUACAUAUGUGUAUUAUUCGGCCAUUGAGUUUGGCCAUUUUUUUAAAAUUUGAUUUUAUUCAAUAAUAUGUUAAAAUAUGAGUAAAAUGCAUGAAUUUUAUAUGUAUUAUUAAAAAAAUUAUGAAAAUAACAUGUUUUAACGUGAAAAGUGCGAACAUAUGUGUAUCGUACAUUAGAUUUUUAAAAAAACGUGUCAUUUAACGAAUCAAUAAUACUUCUAUGGAAAGUAGCUUUUUUUUUUUUUUGAAAAAUACGUACGACAUGUACAAAACGCAUAUUAUACGUGAAUUUACUUACUAUCGUUACACAUGUGGCUCACAAUGUGGUCUCACAAGAGAGGGCUUGUUGAAAUUUUAAAAAUCUCACAUCGGAUUUUAGCAUAAUAAAUAUGGGAAUUGUUAUUAGCACUUCAAAAAUCUCAUUCUACACUCCAAACUUUCUAUAUUAGGAAAGAAAAAUACAAGUGUAGAAUGAGAUUUUUGGGGUGCUAAUAACACUUCCCUAAAAUAUAAUACAUAAACAAAAAGUUCCUAAUAGCACCAACGUCUUUUUGUAAUAAAAACUUUAUACUUGUAGAGUUGUACUGACGGUAAAAUGCAAGUAAAGAGACCAUAUUAGAGCAAUUCCAUCCCUAAAACUUUGCAUCAGCACCCAGCCCAUUUAUUCACUCAAGUGAACAAUAAUAGACCCCAGUAAACAAUAAUAGGCCAAAGCAUCUCCACCCCUAAAAAAAUGCGCUGGCACAAACGAUCUCCACCCCUACAAAAUGCGCUGGCAUCCAGCCCAUUUAAAAUAUUUUAUAUUUUUUAAAAGAAUAAAUAAAUAAAAUAGCUUUAAUUUCGGAUAGGAUUUUUAACCAAUCUCGUCACGCCACGUGUCAUUACUAUUUUGUGAAUAGAUUUCCGUUAAGAUUUUCAACCAAUCCCGACACGCCACGUGUCACUUCCUGUUUACAAUAAUUUAACCCAUAUUUCGAUAAGAUUUUCAAUCAAUCUUGUCACGCCACGUGUCAUUAUCCGAACGUACUAUUUUGUGGAUAGAUUUCUAAUAAGAUUUUCAACCAAUCCCAAAGUGCCACGUGUCCUUCCUGUUUACAAUAAUUUAGCCAAGAUUUUGAUAAGAUUUUUAACCAAUCAUGUAGUGCCACGUGGCAUUGUCCAUAACCUCAUCCUUUCUUUUUUUGUCCAUAUAAGCCCUACAUCCCUACAUCUAUUCUCACACCAAACUCAAUCCUUUUUUUUAGCUCAGAAUCCUUCUUCAUCGUUUCCAAAUCUUGAGUGUAAGGUGGAAGAUGAGGGUUAGAUAUUUAUAGAAAUUUUUAUAAUUUUUAAUUAGUUUUUAAUAAAUUUUAAUGUAGUUAAUUAAUUUGGACCGUUGGAUUUGAAAAAUAUUCAAAACCACAGCCAACGAGCUGCCACAUGGCCAAUGGUCAUAAUUUUGACCGUUGGGCCCUUUUUUUUUUUGUUGAGGAAAAAAAGUGGACCGUUGAUCUGUGAUCAAACGGACUAGUUUAAAAGUCAAAUUCAAAUUUUUUUAACCUUUGGAAAUCCAACGAUCUAGAAAAACUAACCGUUGUAAAUCCAACGGUACAGAGAGGGCCACGUCACCGAGCUCGGAUGAAUGGUGAGUGCGUCUGCCAGCGGGCCCGGUCACCUGCUUUCUUGUCUCUUACUCGCGCCAAUGCGCGAGUGAACGCCACACGCCAACCAAAUAGGCCAAUCCUUUGGUCAGUAAAAAAUGGGUCGGUCUAUUGCCUGGCUUGGGUUGGUCUAUUGCCUGGCUUGGGUUGGGUGCCAGGCAAGUUUGUGGGCUGGAGUGGAUUGACUGAUCCCUAGCCUGGUUUUUGGAUUGGGUGUUGGCACACUUCCCCUCCGGUGGAAGUGCUCUUAGUAGGGAACCAAUGACCCUUUCUCUGAAAUCUUGAAAAUGAGUCCAUAAAAUAAUUUUGUAGUCUUUUUUACUAAAAUUAUAGUUGAAUGUAAGAAGGGAAAUUUUAUUUGAACUCAUGUAACCUCUUUCUACACCCAACUUACUCUCUUCACCCAUAUUGUUUUUUAUUAAAGAAUUAAUCUCUCUUUAAACCCAAAAUUUAUUACCAAAACUACCCUCUCAAACCCAAUUCAUAAUGUUAAGUUAUCUUUACACCCAUCACCUUUAUAAAAUAACAUUUGUAAUUGAAUAAAAAAAUUAAAAAAAAGAGACGUCCUUGCCUCCACCUCCUCUUCCCACUAGCAUUUCCAUGGCUACUUUUUUUUUCUUUCAGCUACCAAACCCAAACAUUUGCCUUUUUUAUUUCUAUUGAUGUGCAUAAGCAACAAAUCAAACAAUUCAUCCCCUUAUCUUUAUCAACAAGCAAGGAAGUUUAUAAUCUAAGAAUAUUGGUAAGAAGUUUUUCCUUAGAAUUUUCCAAUUGUCGAAAGUUUAAUAAACCAUUCGGGAUUGAUGAAAAAAAAUUGAAAUCAAACGAACAAAAUAUUUAUAAAUUGAGUCAUACCUUAGUUGGAGGAUUCAAAACUUCAAAAUCACCAUCCAUCAAUAAAAAAAAAGUUUGUUUUUCUCUACAAGACCUAUUAGGAUUUUAGCUAGAAUGAACGUAGGAUAAACAAGAAGUGAUGAUAGGGUUUAAUGGGUUUAUUGAUAAAUUUGAAUUUUAUUAUUAAUUUUAUUUUGUUCUUAAUAGUAAUUAUGCAAUAGGAUAAAAUAGAUAAUUAACAAUUUAAAUUUAAGUUAGGUAUAGAAAGAGGUUACAUGGGUUCAAAUAAAAUUUCUUAUGUAAGAAUUCAUGGUUGAGCACUUGAGCUACAAUAUAUGUGCAUGGAUCGAAUUGUAACUUAAUAUAUAUAGAGGAUAAUGAUUUGAGUCACGCCAAUUGGAGGGGAUAAUAUUCGCUAUAUUCAAGUUCGAUGACCCUUUAUUUUUCUAUAAAUAGAGUAUUUUAUUAUAUUAUAUAUCGUCGAUGACCCUAUUUAUGUUCACUUUUAACUUCAUCUAAUUUGCUUGCCUUUUUUUUUUUUCUAUCAGACUGGGAGGGUUGGUAUGGGCUCGACUGCUGUGUAGAUGCUACAAUAGAGUUCGAUUUCGGUUGCGGCUUCCUUGUAUGGUUUUUCUGUAUGGGCUUCUUGCGCAUUUGUUUACCCAAAAAAAAGAAAAGUAUUAAAGAUGAAAAGGAAGGGCAACUUCAAGCAGUGAGAGGCACUCACUGCAACAGAAAUUUUCUCCCGCCAAUUUUUUUUUUUUUUCCACAAGUGAACAGUUGAAAUUUAACUAAAUGAGAUUCAGUUAAAUCCCAACCCUUCUUUUUUGUCCUUUGAUGUACAGGAGAGCAAAGCACCUCAUUGUAAUUAUACCAGGACGACAAUUUCCGAGCCCGGAACAACAUUGAGUCCAAAUCGAGCCUCAUGUUGCUGAUCGUUAAUGAAUGACAUCUCUACUGCAACGCUUAUCACAGUGGGACUACAUGCGUUAUCUUGUUCUGCUCCUCCUGUUUGGGUGUCCUUUCCAUCCCCUCAUAUUUGUGUGGUCACGAUUAAGACACGUCAACAUUUUAUAUUCUUAUUGUUUUUUGUCUUAUUAUCUCUAUAAAAAAAUAUAUAAAAAUGCUGACGUGAUUUAACUCUGACCGCACAAAAUAGGAGGGAAUGGAAAGGACAUCCAAACAGGAGGGCAGACAAUCUGCCUCCAUAUAACAUUCAAAGCAUAUGACCAGGAAAAAUAGGUUAUUGAUUAACAAAUCAACUUGCAUUGGACCUACCUAGCUACUGUUAUCCCGCUUGAACUACCUAGCUUCGCAGACAUCUUCAGCCCUAAGAGAAACAUAUCUGUUCUCUGCUGUAUGAUGAACCAUCAGUUUGAAUGCUUUUCAGAUUCCAGAUCUUCAAAAAGAAAAUCACGUAAAUAACCAGACCAAGCUUACUCAUAUGCACAUUUAGAACACAAAAGAGGAACUGAAACCCACUUGAGGACAGGGUUGCAACUCAAAUAAAAGAAGCUGGAGGCACAAUUAAACAAAAUUUCCUCUUUCAGAACAAAUACUGAAGCUCCAACAACUCGCCUGAGCUUUAACUGCAUCUAAGCAAGUAACAUUAACCUUCAAAUAGCGUUUAAGAACAUAAAUCACAUCAAAAUCCAAACAUGAAAAAAAAUUAAAAGGCAUAAAAUUCAUAGUAAAACCGAAGCCAAAGACUGCAGCUAUUUUACCCCAUUGAUAUCAAGAUGGAGCAAAUGGGUACCCAGAAAAUAAGAGCACACUUGCAUGUUGCAAGGAAAGGGACCUAGUCCCCACUUUUCAGGGUCGUGCCUCUGGCUUAGCUAUGAAGUUACCCGAGUGGCCACUAAAAAAUUGAAAGAAAAAAAAAGUCCAAUCUUCAUUUUCUACAUGAUUGAGAAGCGGAGAUGUUUAACAAGCACCACGAACAAAACAAACUGCAAAGCUUCACCUUUAUUUCGCAAGUCUUCAUAGUAGCAUCCGCGUACCAAAAACCAGAUAACCUUUUUAGGCUUCUGCAAUCUCUAUUUCCCCCUCCUGUAGUUCCUUGACUGCUCUUAUAAGACCCCUUGUAAUCCCAUUGAGAUGCAACCCGUUAUCCUUCAUUUCUUCAAGCAAUUUCUCUGCUGUUCCCCAAUCCAAAGCCUUAAGACAGAGAGAUUGGAUCAACUUACUGUACUCAUCAACAUUAGGUUGGACCCCAAAAUGUUUCAUCUCACCCAAAAACUUUAAACCUUCGUCAAAAUCUUCCAGUUUGCAAAAUCCACGGAUAAUUGUAUGGUAAGUCACAGGACUCAGUUUAGGAUGCUUCUUUUUGGCUUGGGAUAAUAUUUUACAAGCCUCCUCCAUCAGACCCCCAUUUGCAUAACCACUCAUAAUAACAGUGUAAGUAUACACAUCUGGUUUUAACCCCCUACUCUCCAUUAGCUUCAUCAUCUCCAUUGCCUCUCCCGUAUCCCCAGCCUUAGAAUAGCCAUUGAUAACCAAAUUGAAAACUGCAUUUCCUGGAUGUGGGCCCUCCCUUGUCAUCUCAAGAAGCAAUUUUUUGGCCCCAUCAACAUCUUUUAUCCUGCACAAUCCUUGAACAACAGCUGAAAACGGCUUAAUCCCAUAUUUCCGUGCUUCUCCAGAUAAAUCACCCAAUAUCUCUAGAGCUAAAUUGACAGUUUCAUCCUCCCUACAGAGUGAACUGAUCAAAAGAUUAACUGGCGAGCGUGGCAGGUCCUGCUUCUUCACCUUCAUUGACAAAUAAACCAAAUGGGCAUCUUUAGCUUUUUUGCCCUUGCAAAACCAAGAUAUGAUCCUACCGACUCUCUCACCAUCAGGCAAGACUCCUGCAUCAAGCAUCUUCUCGCAAACAGACUGAGCCCAAUCAAAAAACGAACGCCUGCAGAGUGCUUCAAUUGUAAAGUAAUAUGAAUCUGCAUUCGGGACACAUCCAAAAUCAGCAAACUUGUUGAACACCUCAAAAGCAGCUUUCCCUUUACCCAAUUUUGAGAAUGAGGAUAUCAAUUCAUUGAGAAUUUCCAAAUUCAACAGAGUAUUUUCUUUCUCACCAAUCUCCUUAACCAAAUCCCAUAGAAAGUAUACAUCUCUCUUCCUAACAAGGCCACUACAUGUGGAUCGUACAAGCGCAUCGAGGACGUGAGUAGUGACUCUAAACUCGGGUUUCUCCUUCAAAGCCCAUUUAAUAAACCUAAUCAAAUUCUCACCCAAAACAAGCGGGGUUUCGACUAGUUUAACCACAAACUCAGAAUGCAGAGUCAAAUUUAAAGCAUCAAAACUAGACUCAAGACUCCCAUCAGCACUGCUCUGAAGGAGAGACAAUACACUCUCCAGCUGCUCCAAAUCAAUCUCAUAAACCUCUUGCCCUUUCCGCAACUCUACAUCAACACCCUCCGAACACUUUUCCUCCGCGUACCCAUCCCCAGGGGCAAGAUUGUCCGGCUGGGAAUCAACAUUUUCACCAAAUUCCACAGGGGCAGGUAGCUCUUCUCCUUGAGCGGAAUCAGAAUCCCUAGAGUUUUCUGAGAGCUGAGAGAAGAACCUAGGGUUUUGGAAUCUAGUGUAAAAAUGAGGAAAUUGAUCAACUAGAGGAGGAGUUAGUGUUUUAGAGGAAAGCACCUUGUGGUUUGGAUGAGCUGCGGACAGCAUCCGUGCCGCCGCCUGCGUCGAAAGGGACGCUGCUCUUGCUCUUGCUGUCACUGCAUACCUCCACAUGUCUAUCUAUGGAUCUGCUCGGCGUGCCGAAUUUACUCAACUCAAACAGUGAGCGACUGUGGGGUUCAUAUUCAAAAACCCUAAUCUCUAGGGGGAGACGGAGAGGAGAAGUGCAGAAAAUGAAACGUGGGCUUAUGCACUCGGGUACGACCCGUAUAACUAACUGCUUCCUCGUCGGGUUCUGGACAGCUAAGUUUAAAAUGUUGGGCCGUUGGCCCAGCAGUUAUAACAUUAAGAUUUCAUUUUUCAAAUCCGUUCUAGUCUCCACGUGGUCACAUCGAAGUCCAUCUUUGGGUUAUUAUAGGGAGGGACAAGCCGAACACAAUUAAACCAUUACAAAUCUCCGCAGCGAAACAAUCUUAGCAUUAUAUGCGGCGUCGCGGUUCCCUUGUACCUUCUUGUUUUUCCUUCUGUUAUUGCUGUUGGUUGUUUGCCUCUUGGGUAGGUUUUCUUGUAUCUUUUUGGCAUCUUUGCCCGGAUAUAUCUUAUCUGCUUUCCAAAAAAUAAAAAAAACAAUCCAAAAUUACGUUCAAGUUGGGGAGAUGAUUCCUGCACGCCCUAUCUAUUUUUAUCUCCUGAUUCUUAAGGUUACCCCAAGUUAACCAUUUUAGUUCAAAGCUCGGAAGGCGGCGGCCGAUAUAGGGUUCCAUUGUAGUAGGCAGAUUAAAAGAAACACAGGGAGAAACCGUGAAGAAAGAAAGAUCAUGAAACAAUUAAGUUAAUCGAAAAAUGACAACAAACUUAAGUAUCCAAGUUAGUUACCAGCAAAGACCUUAAUUAGACAGAAUAUACAACAUUACUUGCAGUUUCAGAAACGCUUCCUUGCUUUCUAAGCACUAAGGGUAUUUCAACCUACAAGAUCCGACUAAAAUACCUUCAGCCCUGUUCAAAUUCAUAAAUCCCGUGACAACAAAUUCUACAAACAGUAAACGAGCAUCGGAUGCUGGAUCUUUUUACAAGGAGUAUUAAUUCAGAUGUAUGACUGACAUAACUAUUGAGCAUUGAUAAAAACUCAUUCAGCUUCAAGUUCGGCACCAAACUGCUCUAACCUUGCAGCAUCCUCAUCCAGAUUCCGGACAGAAGCAUGGUUAACUAAACCAUCAUCCUCACUUGCAUGUACUUGUCUACCGCCAAACCUAAAUGAACAUAAUAAUAAUAAUUAAAUGUAGAACCAAAAGAAAAUGGGAAGACUAUAAUCAUUGGAAAUCUACAAAAUAAACAAUUAAGUUCUUAGUGGCGAGAAAUUUUUCAAUGUCAUGACAUGUGGUGUACCAGCUCGUACUUCCGAGCACACUGAAAAAUCUCCCACAGCAGCACCAUCUACCCAACCUUACACAAUAACUGCAAUUGUAAUUUAGUAAACACACAAUAUUGAUUACCAUCGCCCAUUCAUCAUUUCUAUGCACUUCUGAGCAUCAUUCCUAUCCUUGAAUCUGACCACAACAACUCCCUGGGGAUGAUUCUCACAAACCUACAAAGAAAACAAAAUGGGAACCUGAGGAUAUUAGGAAAGGGAAAAGAAAGAGGAACAUACAUAGACAUGUAUACACAUAUCACGGAGAAAUUCUGAAUGCCAUUCUUCAUCACACACAUGAAGGGUAUAUUACCUUCACUGAGUCCACCGGACCAAGCUUCACACAUUCCUCCUGAACAUCCGCCUGCAAUUCUGGACCUAAAUUUUCAUCUGCCUGUAAACAUUAUUUAGGAGAAAGGUUACCAGAACAGGAUCAGAAUAAUAAAAUACCCUUCUCGCAAGGCUUUAUAUAUUGAGAAAGUUGUUGUGCAAAUAAACAUCACCAACUAUUGAUCCGUUGAUACCUGAUACGCAGAAGGAAAAAACAAGUUUUCCAACAGCAUAGACACUACAUAUAAUCUGUUAAGACAGCUAUCAACUUACCCUCAUUUCAGCAGGAGUGAACAUGUAGCGAAGAAUAACAGUAGCUGGAAUUGACACCUUUCCAUCGUCAUGGCCGGCUGUAAGAAAAUGUGAUCAUACUAUUAGUGUUGUAGAGCACAUAAGGUACUUCAUGCCAAAAUUUAUGACAGAAAAUGUCCAGCAGGUUAUGAAGCAUAGGCAUAUGCUAAUUAUCCACAGACAUUCACGUCAGGUUCACAUUAUGCUUCACUGUAAAAUCCGAAAUACAAAGAAACUACUUGUGAAACAUGGGAAUAUCUAUAUGAUCCGCAAACAUUUCCUUAUGAUUAAAACAAUGAACACACUGCGGGCAGAAGAAAAAGUAGUUUGUAUUUUAAAAUUCAAGAUGUAGAAGAAUUUCUAUAAUAUAUGUCAUAUGAUAUGAUAAAACAAAAAGGCAUAUUAUUAUUCACAAAAGAAAGGGAACAACUGACUGCAAAAGCUACACAUACUACAUUUGGAAAACAAGAAUAGAAGCUUCAAGCAUAAGUGGAAAGGAAUCACAAUAUGAGGUAUUCCUUCACCGGAAUAAAGAUAUCUAAUGCAAGAAGCUUUCUGUUUACGAAUCAGCAUGAAAAAUAAGGUUAAGUAAGAACACGACUAAUAUUAAUAUAUGAACCUACCCCAGCCAAGCAUCUUCUCUUCCACUUUCUUCAGUUUCUUUUUCCUCUUGUUGUCUGCUUGUUUGGUAACAAAUGUGUCCCCUGCAUACAUAACAAAAGCUUUUAAAUAAAACAGAACACACUUGAAAGCUCAUAAUCUAAGGCAUGCUAUUGAAAAUGUUUCUAAUACUGUGUUGAUGAUGUUUUUAAGUGGUUCUCUCAUUUGUAUAUAACGUAGCAAAUAUUUUAAAAUCUCACACUAAAAGUACAAGACAAAAAAAGUUCAACAAAUAUCAUCUGACUACUAACAAUUACCUUUUUGCUGAAACUUGGCUUGGGUGACCGACAUAAGAACCUUGCCACCAGGGCGUAGAGGUGUUCCGUCCAAAAUUUGGGUAGCCAAAACAACCGAUGGUUCCUAUAGUUUACAAAAACGCAUAUAAUAAAAUACCCAGAAAUGACACGUUACAUCACAAAGACAGCAGAAGUAAUAAAAAGCAUUGUUACCUUCAUAUAAGUAACAAGUGCGUCUCCUUUUUUCUUUCCAGUUGCUUUGUCAACAUACAGCUUCACACGAGGUUUUUUUGUUUCAGGAUCCUAUAAAUUCCAUUGAGUAACGAGCUUAUAUGGUGAGUAUGAGAGCAGAUAUAUAUCAAUUAAGCUACACAGUGCUGGAUGUUUAACAAGGAACACAAAGUAUAAUGUUCACACUUAGUCUCAUGAUACGAUAACAAGGCCACUUUCCAUUAUAAUUUGACAAUAACUCUUUAAGAAAAAAGUCUAAGAAUUUGGUUGCGGACAAAUACUGGACUAAAAAAAAUCAUUAUGCAGAAAAUGAUUUAAAGCUAUAUAACCCUGUAGUUUUUUGCUCUAAUUCUCAGAUAAGUACAAUGCAUCUUUAAAAGUUUCCAUUCCAAAAGAUAUUAAUUCGCAUCAUUGAACCGUCUUAAAAAAUGGUACUAAUCAACAAAGUAACAACAUGAAUUGUAUGAAAAGAAGAAAACUUUACCUCCUUUAUGAUCCCACAUUUGGAAAACACCUCUACCACCUGACGAAUAUCACUGAAAUUAGUAGUAUGCCACAAUAAAUACAGAGAAUAAAACAAUGACGGGAACUUACUUCGUCGACUGUGACGUCAUCAGGCAAUCCGGUUGCAUAAACAUGCGUGUUGAUCUUCAGCUCAAACCAACUUUCAGGAGGUUUAUUAGCUUCCUGAAAAUACAAGUAAUAAGACAGGGGGGAGUCAACUGGUACUGCUUCAUAAAUCCUAUACACAUAGACCAUUUCCAGUCUAGACUAGCAUAACCAAAUUUAAUAAUAGGAUCCAAUCACAUUCCCCCAGAACAAUAGAGUUUGAUUAGUAGACUAUAAUAAAUAAAAGAUACACAAUCAUCAAAAGUAAAAGAACAAGAUAAAAAGGGCAAACCUUCUUGUCAGCUUCCUUAUCUGACAAUUUCCUCUUAGAACUUUGAUUGCCUUCUAACUCACUGCUACCAUUGAUAUCAUCUUCUUUAGAGGGAUUGGAAGCCUUUACAGGUGCAUUAACCUCUUCACUUGCGGUGGCUUCAGAAAAAUUGGCAGCUGGGAAAACUUCCUCUUCCUGCAAAAAAGUCAUAUCUUCUACCCCGAAAGCGCUAUCCUAUUAGACAUUAAAUCAGUCAAAUAUACAUUCAACAAAAACAAGCGAGACAGAUUUUCAAGUUUGAUAUCAAAAUUUUCCUAUUUAAUAAAAUUGGAAUACUGAUCUGUUCGACAGACCAUGGAAGGACACUCAGUGAAAUGUUCAGAAACGUGGUACCCAACAUUCUCUUCAAGGUUCGCCAAUGUGCAACCAGACAACAAAAAUCUACUUGUGUGCGUUCAUUGGCAUGCUACCAGAUAUACCAUGAACAGAAAAACCACCACAAACAAUAAAAUGAAAUAUAAGAAAAACAUAAGAAGGUGCAGCAACCAUGAACCAACCUGGGGAACCCAAGCCCUAAGACCCUGAUCCCACUUGUAUGUUGUCCCAUCAUCAUCGGUGAAUUCUUCCUCUCCCUCGGGGGGCGUAGAAGGUCUGUCACUAUCUGCUUGUUCUGCCUCGCAUACAUGCUUCUGCCAUUUGUCGAAGUCGUCCUCAUCAUCAGUUGGGAUUGGGGGCACUGCAAUAGAAGUGAAUAAAUUGUAAGUCGAGUAAAUCACGGAAGUGAUAAUCCCAAAUCCAAAGAAUAAAAAAGAACAAAGAAUUGACCUGCGGUUGAAACAUGAGAUACUUGGUCGUGAUGGGAUAUUGCAGUGACGAGGUCGGGAAUGGAGGAGAGUGGCUGCCAUGCGCUUCUUCCUUGAGCCCAGAUGAGCGUAUGGAGGGUGAGGUAGCCAUUUAAGAAAUGCUCUGUCCAGGCGAAGUAAGUAAGCAAAUUAGAAGUGCAAUUGAACAUGAUAAGUGAGACUGAAAGGGUGCUCUAUUCAAUUGAUUACGAGUAGACUGAAAUUCAGAAGAAGGAAACAAUGUGGCAGUAAAUUCAAUUUCCAUAUUCAACAUUACAUCGCAAUCGAGGUGAAUCACUAUUCUUUCUUCAUUCCACACAGACAAUUGAAUGUUCAUAUCAAUUGUCAUUAAUAAUAUUAUAGGUUGUAUAUAAUAUAAGGUGCUGCUAGGGUAAGGGUAGGGGUAGGGGUAGGGGUAGGGGUAGGGCAAGGCAAACAAAACAAACUCACCCCGCAGCUCCGAGAAUGCAUAGGGACCAACAUGCUGUUGAUUUUCGCCCAGAAUGAACCAUCCCACUUCGCUCAACUCUUCUUCCAUCCCCAAUCUUUUAUGCUCCCACCCUGCUGCUGCUGCAACUCCUACGAAUCAAACCAUAUCAAAUCACAUCAAAACCAUUUUCUUUAUUCUAUUCUUGCAUUGUAUUUGUACAUACAAUGUUAAUUAUAUGUAUAUAUUUAUACAAGUUCCAACUUCCAUGGGUUUUUUUGCUCAACAACGAUUAGGAUUGAGGUGAUUUUGCUCAACAACGAAAAUUACAAAAUAUAAAAAAUAUGCACGCCACGCACCCGAAUGAAUUUGCCGCGCUUGCUCUUCUUCUUCUUCUUCUUCUUCUUCUAGGUGGUGACUCUGCAAGUCCUUCUCCAACGUCAUCGUCUGUCUCUGCAACUCCGACUGACAGACCAAAUUGUAAUUGUAAUUGUAAUAUCUGUAAUAAUAAACUAAUUGGAAAAAAGAAUGGGAAACUUUGGGCUCUUUCCCAUCACUUGGGCCUAAUUGCUUCUUUCGGGUACAAAUUUUGCCAUCCGCCCCGUCUAA
rnacentral:lncRNA from 1 species